rnacentral:lncRNA from 1 species
UGGUUUCCGACGUGACCCACGCCGGAUUCGGAGAUGUGGACUUUGGGUGGGGGAAGGCGGCGUACGGAGGUCCGGCGAAGGGCGGCGUAGGAGCCAUACCUGGGGUUGCGAGUUUUUACAUACCGUUUAAAAAUAAGAACGGGGAGAAUGGGAUAGUUGUUCCGGUCUGCUUGCCGGCGGACGCCAUGGAAGUGUUUGUGAAGGAGCUUGAGAUGAUGGUGAGUAGAGAAGAUGAUGACAACUCGGUCCCUGCUGGCCGAAUCCCAGUCUUCAUUACGUCAGCACUCUGAAUUAUUUAUUACGUGGUUGUACGUUUUGCAUUAUAUCUUGUACCUUGUUUGGUAAUUAUAGUUUGUAUAUUCACUCUGUUCCAAUGUUUCAUAAUAAAUGUUGUUUUUUAAAAAUAUUUUGUUCAAAAUUGGCUGUCACUUUUUGCCCUUAAUUUUAUCUCAAUUAUAUGUUUUUUCCCCUUUUUGACCAUCUAGCGCGAGUUCACUCUUAUGGUUCGCGAUGCUCAACUCCAUUCCAUAUCAUGGGCACGCGUAGCCAAUUCUUCAAAAUUUCGAGGUUUAAUCCCUUGCAAGAUGUAGAGAAGCCCCCAAUACAUCUCUUGGAUACACAUCUCCAUUACCGACACUUUCGAUAGCUUAUCCUUGCAAUUUAGACUUAAUGCACGCCAACGGUUGAUGUAAUCCACAACCGGUUCAUCUUUCCACUGUUUCGCAUUGGUAAGCUCGAUCAUACUCACAGUACGACGCGUGCUGUAGAAGAGAUUCAAGAAUUCAUGUUCCAUCUCUUCCUAACUGUUGAUGGACUCGGGUUCCAAAUCGAUAUACCAAUCAAAAACAUUUCCCUUGAGUGAUCUUACGAAUUGUUUCACCAAGAGAUCGCCGUUAGUCCCCGCAUUGUUGCAAGUUUCGAUGAAAUGAGUAAUAUGUUGCUUGGGGUUCCCCUUUCCGUCGAAUUGUUGAAGUUUUGGGGGUUUGUUGGUGGUAAUACCUACACGCAAGUGCACGUAUCGUACAAGUAAUAAAGUGGAUUUUUAAGUCCAAGUAUCGAUCCCACAGAGAAUAUUUAAUUAUCUAAUCCUAGACGCUAAAUUCUACCAAUUAUUAUCAAGCUCACCCUACACAGUCGAAAGAUGAUUAAUAAACUAAAUUAAACUAAAGCAAUUAAAAAGACAAAAGCAAGAAACAAAUUAAACACGAAGAUUUAUCAAAGUAAACAAGCCUAGGAUUUUAUUCUCCCCCCUAUGUGAUUAUUAAUCCCCCAAUUCCUUCAAUUAUGCAAGCAAUUAACCCGGAUUAUUAACAUGAGAUGCUAAAUUAAUCAUAACCCGCUUCCGCGUGUAUUACGAUUCUAAUACUCUAGAUUCAAUCACUGUAUUCCUACGCAAUUAAUUCUAGAACACAGCAUUAAGCACAAAUCUCAAUAAUGGCUACCUAAGAGAUUAACUAUAUUCCUAUGUUAAUACCACAAAGGCUCUUCUACCACAGUUCUAAUUAUUAACCCGAUCUUCCGAUUCAUGCGAUUAACAAUAACAUAAAAGCACAUAAGGUGAUCAAAUUCAUGAACUUAAUAAAACAAGUAGGAGAAAUAAUCCGGAAUUAAAACUUGCAUAAAAUCAUAGAAAAGGGUUCAUAAAUCCCACAUAGGGUUCCAAAUAAAAUCCUAGAAAUUAAAGACUUAGCUACUCGUGAUUCUUAUGAUAAAGAAAAUAAAAGAAAUAAAUUAAAUAAGAAAAACUAUGCUUGAGUCUUGGUUGAUCUUCGUUCCUCGCGUAUUGUGGUGUCUAUUUUCGUGCUUAUGGUGUAAAGACUUUUUGCUUUUAUAAGCUUUUCUUGAUAAGGAAGUAGUGGAAACCUAAUAGGAAUCAAUUUCCGCCACUUUCCUCCAUCAGGAUUUGUUCUUCGAUUUUCACCAUGUUGGAGUCCGAAUUUGGAAUGUUUUGUACAUAAGAAUUGUAGCCCUUGAAAUUAGCUUUCCAAUGCCGCCAACAUCAGCUGAUUUGGAGUUCGUAUGAGAGCGAUAUGCUCGAAAUGGUGGACACUGCCAAAGCUGUGGCGAGAUUCCUUCUUCCAAUUUGAUUUAUUUCUUUAUUUGCAACUUUUUCCUUUCUUUUUGAUCUCUUUUUUCCUUCAUGGACACAUAAUUCUCGUUUUCACCUAUAUAACACAAAAUCAAUCAAAUAAAGCACAAAUAUAAUUAAAUCUAAACAAAAGAUCCACGUAAAGUAAACGAGCGUAAAAUCUACACUCAACAGGGUUGAUAUCCCGCUGGCAUCCUCAAUGCAUCGAUCCACUUAGUGUACGGCUUUGAGUACAUGGGUGAGACUUGAGAUGGUCCGCCAUAUUGCGCUUUGAUGGUAUUGGCAAUCAUCUCUUGCAACUGUUGAACAAAUAGCGUGGCAACAGACAUCGAAGAAUGAGCGGCGCCUUGCACAAAGUCCGGCUUGGGCUGUGCUUCUUCCACUUGCUUAGCUUUCUCGUCACGAGGCGGGUAAGAUUCGUGCUUCGGGCUAAACUCCCCAACCUCUGAUUGUUCCAACUUAUCCAUUAAUUGAGCGAUUUUCAUGUCUUUGUCUUCGACUAUUUUUUGAAGAUUAGCCACUGUUUGGGUCAAGUGCGCCAAUUGCUCAUCCACGGAAGUCGCAUCAACCACCAUAACCGGCAAUGUGGUAAAGGCUUGAGAUUUGGAGUCGAUCUCUUCGGAGCCCGAGGAGCCUGAGCCAUUUGACGCCGUUGUAUAAUCGAUCUUGCCGCCGGUGGAUGAUAAACCAACAACGGUGGCAAUCUCGGCAGCCUUUUGGAUCAAAGAGUUUUGGUUCUUCUUUGGAGCCAUUGGAUCGUUGAACACGAGAAUAUGCGCUUCAACGUAGGAGAGGAGAUGAGAGGCAAAGUGGUCCCACUGGGCGUGCCAAUUUGUUAACCUCAAAUUUGAAUGUCUGCAAAUUAAAUUACAAGACAAGAAAAAAUAGGAACAAAUAAAUAUAUUUUAAUCAAAACGAAAUAGGUUACAAUCUUUGUUGAUUCCUCUGAUUCUUCUCCUAGAUUUAAUCCAAGGGCUGAAGCUUGUUCUUGAAUUGAGAGCUUGAUUCCUUCCUUGAUUUGCGGAAGUAGAUAUGAAUAUCUAGAAAUCGAUUUGAGGUUUCUAGGUCUUGUGGAUAUGGUGCCUUGAUGAAGAUGUAGAACCUCCGCGGUUGUUGUUCUUCGUCGUGGCAAGAGCUCGAGACUUGAGAGCUUUUGAGUGCUUGAUGUACUCUUUGCUUGAUGCUUGUGUCCUUGUGUCCUCGUAUAUGUGUCUUUGUGUGUGUUUAAUACCUCCUUUUAUAGGCUCGAUUUAGGGUUUCUUGACUUGAGACUUGGGCCGGUGGACUUGGAUACUUGCAAAUUUAUGUGGGCUGGCUUUUAUAAGCCCGAAUGACUAAACCGAAUAAAUAAGAAUUUAGUGCUUAUUUUGGGUUAACUCACAUAACACAUUUGUGAAGCCCAAAUAUAGUGUGUACUUCAACAUAAAACCCAAAUUCAUCACGGGCUUUGAUUUGAGAUCCAAAUUAAUAACCGAUUUAUUUUGGGUUAUUAAUUUGUAAUUUAAUCUAAAAAAUUUGAUAUAAGCCCAAAUUUUUUAUGGACUUUUAAUCGAGAUCCGAAUUAAUAACCAAUUUAUUUAAGGCUAUUAAUUCGUAAUUUAAUCCCAAUUUUGAUGUCAACACAUUCAAUUGCAAAUUCCUUGACACUUUGCAUUCCCUAACAUUUUUUGACUGGAAAUGUGAUUGGCGAUCGAUUUAGGGAUUUGAAAAAUGGCAGAUUUGUCUUUCUCCAAUUACUCAAGAAAUAAAAAAAUCGUUCACUACUCCUUUCAUCCCUUUUCUUCCAUUGGUUCCUUCUUAUUUCUUAAAAACCCUAGAAUUUUUUUUGCUCAUGUUUUCAUUAUCUUCUUCAAAUUUCUCCAUGGCUAGAACAAAUUCAUUGUCUCGCUCUAAAAGAAUCCAAAACUUUGAAGAAAACAAAGUGAGUAAGUGACUGGAGGUGGGAGAGUGCAAAAGAUGAAGGAAAAAAAUUAGAUAAAUGCGAGGAAAAUGUGAAACAAUUAAAAAUCGAGAUACAAAUAUAUAAAGAAAAGGCAAAUAUGUAUUCAAAUUGGUGGUAGGGGUUUCAAUUUUUCAAUUUUGGGAUUCAAAUUUGGUUGGUUGAAACGUGUUUGUCCUGUGCAAAAUAUCGGAAAUCUGCAAUUUUUUAUGAAUUCUAAUGUCAAGUAUUUAUCCUAUUGUUAGUUAGCUUUUUUGAGUUAUAAGAUUUGGUUGGAAACCUAUAAUUAUUAUGAAUUGUAAGCUACAGUUCAAAAUCUGCAAAUUUAAUGAAUUAUAAGCUCUUGUAAUAGUUUUUUGAAUAAACUGCAAAAAAUACCCCUGUGUAAUCUCUAAAUAGCGAAAAAUACCCCCUGUGAAAUUAUUCAAAAAGCACACUCGGCCCAUUUCUCAUUUGAGUGUUGACUUCAUGUAAAAAGACACAAAUAACCCCAAGAUUUUGCAAUUAAUAAAUUCUUAUAUAUUUUUUUAAUAUUUUAAUUAUUUUAUUUUUGUUAUAUCAUAAUUAUAAAGGUACAAUGGGGUCUUUAAUUUAUUUUAUUUUUAUUAUCACAUAAUUUUUGUAUAUAUUUUAAAUUAUCGCUACAUCAAAAGAAAACUUAAAUUCCAUUAUUAUGUAUUUAAAAAAAAUCUAUACUUAAUUUGACUAGCAAAAUUUUAAUAAUUUUUAAAUUUAAUUAUUUACUACUUUUUAACAAUAUUUUAAUUUCUAAACAAUCAAAUUAAAAGGAAAAUAUAUAUACAUAUAAUAUAUAUACAUAUAUAUACAUUUUUAAGGUCAAUUUCGUCAUUUUACGUCCAAAAAUCAACUACCAGUCGCGCAACCCGCGAGUGAGCCACACUUAAGUCAACCGGGGGGCUUUUGCCUUUAACUAAAUUUCGCAAGGGGGUUUUUGCUAGUUUAUUUAUCACAGGGGGUUUUUGCUGUUUAGAGAUUACACAGGGGUACUUUUUGCAGUUUACUCAUAGUUUUUUAUGAGCUUUUAGCUCCAUCCACCCCUGUAUAAUCUCUACUUAUAAAAAAGCCCCAUGUUAAAAAAAAAGGGUAAAUUACACCUACACCCCUGAGGUAUGCUUAAAUAACUGUAAGGUCCUUGUGGUAUCGAUAAUUACACUCACCCCCCUGAAAGGUAGUUAAAAACUCUAACGAGAUAAUGCAUUAGAUACAUUAUUCCGAUAGGGUUCUAAUGGACUAUUACUUUUAGCUAGUUGUGGAGAUAAAAUAGAGUUAUGGGGUGACAUGGCUCCCCCAAUAUUUUUUAAAACACCCAUAACUCUUUGUUGUUUUCACCAGAUCCUGAAACCAAUAGUCCGUUAGAACUCUAUCGUAAUAACGUAUCCAAUGCAUUAUACCAUUGUAGUUUAUAACUACGUCUCAAGGGGGUGAGUGUAAUUAUCGAUACCACAAGGACCUUAAAGUUAUUUAAGUAUACCUCAGGGGUGUGGGUGUAAUUUACCCUAAAAAAAAUAUUAUACCCCCAACUUUGUGUUUUACAAGGUACACGCCCCUUGCUUCAAAAUGUGAAACGACAAAAUAAUUAUAAUAUUAUAUAUAAGAAAAAAAAUGUUGGGUAACCCUAAAAAACCCUAAUGGUAUUUCUGUAAUUAUUUAUGUUUAAUAUUUUUUCUGUACUAAUUUUUAACAAUUAUCAAUCUCCUAUUUGCCAUCAAUAUAUCUCAAAUAUUAAUGUAUAAAGAUAGAAAUUCGAUUUGUUAAAUCUAAACCUAUAUAUUUGGAUUAUAAAUUUUAAUAUGUAGAUUGAUUUUUUUUUUUCACUUUUGAAAUAAUAUCCCGUGCAUCGCACGGUGAAAAAAUGCUAGUAAAUAACUAAAUAUUAAACAAUAUUUCAAUUUUAAAUUAAAAAAAAUUAAAUAUUGAAGGAAAGAAGAGGAAAAAAACACUAUCUUCAGCCCCCUACACUCUCCCCGACCACCGAACCCCCAAAUCAAAAUUUCACCCACCCUCCGCCACACCACCACCACCACAUAUCUCUUCAACCUGGUCUUGAUUUGGUGUGAUGAAAAAGCAGCAAUAUAUGGGUGGAAUAGGGUGUGGGAAAGCUCUAACCAAACCGAAUUUCAUCGAAGAAAAUGUUGUAGUGUUGGAGCGGAAGGGGGAUAUGGUUGAACUGGAGGCUAAGGUUAUGGAGGGAGGUGAGGUCGGAGAGGUUGUUUGCCGGAAGGAGAGCGGCGGCUCUGCUAUGUUCACCGUACUUAUGAAAAAUAGCAAAUCAACCCCUGACUUAAGGAAAAAGAGGGCCUUUCUAAGAAUGAAAAGAACUGAAUUGAAAAUGCUAAAAACUUCAUUUUGGGGCUUAUUUUUUAAAUUUCUAAUUUGAAGGGUAUUCCGAUUUUUUAAAGUCAAAAAAUCAACCCCCAGUCGCAUUUGUGGUGAGUGUAUCACGCGACCAACUCAGAGGGACCUUGUUGGCUUUAACUAACUUUUAUAAAAGGGUCUUUGCUAAUUUUUUUACCCCAGGGACUAUUGUGACAAUUAGAGACUACACUGGAUAUAUGGUUAGUGCUAAAAAGCUCUUUUUUUAUUAUCAAGUUUGUCUACUAAAUUCAUUUGUUUCAUUUAUUUUCAUUUUUGUUCACCUCUAGUAUAUAUCCCCAAAAGAAGGAUACAGAGUCUUCAAUUUUUGACUCUGCACAUCUUUAUUAUUCAAAAUGAGUUCUGGAAGGAUUUUGUUUUCCAAUAUGUACAUAUACUGGUAAAGAGAUAAAUCUGCCCCUCUUAAAAUGCACUAAACCAGUUGCACGUGAUUUUUUCAGCCAAAAAGUGCAGGAGGGUGCAAAGUGUCAAGGAAUUUGUAAUUAAAGGGCGUAAAGUGCUAUUUUCCUAAUUUAAGGAUUCCAAGUGCCAAACUUCUGUAAUUCAACGGUGUAAAGUGCCAAUUACCCGAAGGAUAUUUUGUGUUUCUACAAAGGGCUCAUUUGAGACGCUUCCUCAUGCCCUAGAAAACUAGAGAAAAAUACAAACCGAAAUCAUCUUUAUGAAUAACCUUCCAAGGCGUAAAAGUAUUGUACUGUCCUUUUAUGCAGUUUUCACCUGAAUGUAUUCGAUAUUUUUACCAUAUGCAUUUAGCAUUUUUGGACCUGCAUUUAGCAUUUUCGUUUUUUUUUAAUAUAAAAAUCUGUUGGUUAUUUGUUUACUGUUCAUAUAUAUAUCUUUUUUUGAAUAUUUUUUUUAUUUUUGUAUUUCGAGAUGUUUACUGUACUAAAAUAGACUACAUAUUACUGUAAAAGGGCUAAUUUUAUUUACCUCUCCUGUACUAAUGGGAAACCUUUACUUACCUCCUUUGUGCACCCAGAACCUUCACUUAUCCCCGUGAAUUAUAUGUUGUACCUAUUAGGGGUGUGCACGGCUCGGUUCGGUUCGGUUUUUGGCUAAAGACGAACAUGAUAUCGGCUUUUGUAAAAUUAAAAACCAUGUAUGUCGGUUUUUAGCGGUUCGGUUUCAUUCGGUUUCGGUUCGGUUUCGAUUUUUUUCAGUUCGGUUUCGGUUAUUUUUCGGUUCAAACGAAAGUAUAUAUUGUUUUACAAACAAAAGAAUCCAAUUAUACAAUUACUUUCACAACUAACUAAUGCAAUGAAAAUAUAAAUUCUAUAAUCUCAUAGGACUUAACGUAAUUUAGAUGAUGUAUUAUGCUUCAUUUUGUUUUCCUACUUUCAUCAGCCACAUUAUUAAAACCAUGAACUCAUGUAACGUAAUUUUAGUUUCGGUUCGGUUAUAUACCUUUUUACACCAUACCGAACCAAAUACUUCGGUAUUUCAAAAAUAAAUAGCCGUACCUACACACGGUUUGCUAUUUGGAAGGGUUUGAAACGGCUCAAUUUUUCGAUUUUUCGAUUCGAUUUUUCGUUUUCCCCAAUUUUUUGCUCACUCCUAGUACCUAUUGUACCCUUUUUUAUGCUGAAUAAAUUAUUCUUUAUUUUCAAUAAUAAUUUUAUUUAACUUUCAUUAUUUUACAUACUCAUAUAAUUAUUAUUACUUUUUAAUUUUGAUUUCUUUUAUUUUCGUUCGACUUACAUAAUAUUUUUUUUUCUCUUAAAAUUAAAUUAUAACAAGAAACCACAAUAAAAAUACAUUUAUUUUAUUUUUCAUAAACUUGAACAUAUUAAUUAAUUUUAAAUCUUUAUCUAAUUGAUUUCAAGUGUGGGCAUUUUAUCUUUUAAGAAAAUUUAAAUAGUCAACAUCAUCGUAAAUAUUUUUGAAUAAAAAAUAGAAAAAUUAUGGAAUGAAAAUUUAUUUUCACACUGAUACUAAUGAUAUUUUAUAUUUUACUUAUCUUUAGAACAAAUAUUAGUUAAAUGAAAAUAUAACUAGAGAGUUCAAUACAAGUAAAAAUGAAACAAAAAAAAAAAAGCAAAAAAUAAAACAAAACAAAAAUAAAAUUGAGUACAAAUUAUAAAUAUUAUAUUCUUUUUCUUAUGAAAUUGAAAAGACGGAGACAUGUCUAAAGAAAAAAAAAAGGGGGGGGGGGGGAAAUUUGCUAGACACCCCUUAUUUUGGACUUAUAUAGAUAGAAGUCAUAGUUGCUAGAUGAAUAUAGGCCUAGGUCAUUUCUUAUAAAAAAAUAAUAUAAAUUAAAUAAUAAAAAAAUAUAUAGACAUAAGUACCCUUAUUGAAUAAACAUAUUUUAAGGGAUUCAGUUAUUUAUGUGAAGUUGGGAAAUCAAAUCCCACUAAUCACGAUUGAAGGCAAAGUAUCGUGUGAGACGCUUGGAAAACAGAUCUUAGUCUAUUCAAGUGAAAUAUGAGAUCUUGAUGAAGGGUUCGAAAAACCAAUAUAAGGGUAUUACAAUUAAACGCGAGAGUGGGUGUUUAUAAUUAGUGAAUCUUUUUUUGGCCUAAAAUCAACAUGAAAAUGAAUUAUACGCAAAUGUUUGUCAAUUGAUGUUUGUUGUUUUGAAUUUUCGAUUUAUUAAUCGUCGUUUUACAACUUAAUUUUCGUUCAAUAUUGUUUGCAGUUUAUCGUCCUCCACAAAAUUGGUGUUCAGGUAUGAUGUAUUGGUAUCGGUGAAGAAAGUGUCGAAUGGAACGAGUUAUAAGAAAUUUGUUGACUUUGUUUGCUCGAAGUGGGGUUGUCUAUGCCCGGGUAAUUUUUCAUUGACGUAUAAUUUGUUAAAUCGCGGGGAAUGCGUCCUGAUGGAUGACGAAGAUGUUGGGGGUAAUGAUGGAUUAGUGGAUGCUUAAUUGGUUUUCGCGCUUGUCGGCCAAUGAUACAAAUUGAUGGAACAUUUCUUAAGGGCAAAUUCGGCGGUAUUCUUCUCAGUGUCGUGUCAAAAGACGCUAACGAUAGUUAGUAAUUUAAAAUUUAUUACAUAUUUUCUCGGUAGUAACUGUGUGUACUAAAUGUGUUAAUUUUAUGUUGAAUGUGUUAAAUGUGGUAUGUUUUACGAGUUCUGCACGUGAUUCAAAUGUACAUGUAAAUUGUGUAUAAUAUUUUUGUUUUUUUAUGUAAAACUGCAGAUUGCAAAUUGCAAUCAUAAACCAGUAUCUGCGAACUGCAAACUUUAUUGUUGUGGGUCUCACCAUUUUUUACCAACGGAAAAUGUUAUAUAUAUUGCAAAAAACAAAGAUCAUUGCUUCCCAUUUAGUGUUCGAUGUACAAGCAGUGUCAUUAUUAAUAUGCAUUUUUUAACAUGUCAAGCAAUAUCAUUUUUAAUAUUUUUUUCUAAUGUAUCGUAUUGUUUGAUGCAGGACUUUUCCCUAUUGCAUUGCUAUAGUUCAUGAGGAAAACGAUGAUAAUCUGGACUGAUUUUUAGCAUUGGUAAAACAGACAAUAAACGACGAUUGUGUGUUCACGUUUAUUUCCGACAUACAACAUGGCAUUCUGGUCAAGCUUAAAAAAGUGUAUAUAGACUCUUUUCGCUCCUUUUGCCUCUGACAUAUGACAGAUAAUUUGAACAACAAGUUUAAAUGAGUCCAACUUGUUACAGGGAGGCAAUCGUUAUAUGAUAUGCAUUUGAAUUCUCAAAGACAUUGUUCGGCAAGAAAAUUGAGAAGCUCAAAGUCAGUGUGUCAACCAGAAUUGUCAAUUUUUUGAAUGACUUGCCUUAUCAUAAUUGGGCGAAUGCGUAUUUAUUUCGUACUUGAUUGUUUCGUUUAUUUUCAAUGUAGUAUUUUUUUUUUUUACAAAUGGAAACAUAUAACUGUAAAAAGCAAACAACUCACAUUAGAAUAUGUAAAUGUGGCAAAAGAAUGUUGUUAAAUGAAGUAGCGAACGAUAAACAUCAACUUGCAACCAUCAAGUAUCUAUCUGAAAUAUGUAAUUGCCAUUGUAAAAGUAUGUUGCAGAAUGCACUAGCAAAUUUUUUUGUGAUUCGUGUACAUGUAGCCAGUGAACUGCAAACUAUCAAAAAAUAGCAAACUGCAAACUAUCAAAAAAUAGCAAACUGCAAAUUGUAAACAAUAAAUAACACUUUACAGUAAAUAUAGCCAGAAAAUUACAAUAUGCAGUAUAAUUACAACAAAAAAAUAUUUCGUAUUGCCAAACUAACAUUGCAUAAUCUAAAAUCGCAUAAUCCCUUUUACAAAUUCAAAAUCCAAAUUACUCCAACUAGCGUUUAACGUUAUAACAAAAUAGAAAUGUUAGUAAACGUAGUCAUUUGAUGGCUUGUCCCCUCCACUUGAUUUGAUUGUUGAAUACGCGAUAAGAAAAAAAUAAGAACCAUUUCAAACCGUAAAUUACGAACUUCAACAUUUUUUUAAUAAUUGCAAAAAUCAAAUUCAAUAGCAAACAAGAGUUGUCUAUGCAAAUAACAAAUAACAACUGCAAAUACAAACAAGGAUUUGCAAAAUGCAAACUGAAAUUGGAAAAAAGUACUAGUUGCAAACAAGUUAAAAAAAAAUGCAAAAAAACAGUUUAAAUUCUUCCCACAAUAUGCAUGCUAAAACAAAAUGCAGACCACAUUAAUAGCAAAUAUGAACUGCUAUUGCAAACGACUCAAUAAGAACUUCGAUUAGUAAUUCGGGAACCACGAAAUGCAAACUGCAAUUACAAUGUAUAUUACACUGCAAAGCACAAUAAUUUGCAGAGCAAAUUAACAUACUUGAGAUACCGUAACGUAAGAAACUCAAAAUUCAGGCCACAAACACAUGAAAAAAAAAAACUUAGAGAAAAUCCUAUAACAUCGAUGCUUUAAGAAUGAAGGAAAAUUGUAACUAAACAUCGAUGCUUCCAAGUCACCAUGCUUUUCCACCGAGACCAAAAAAAUCAUGAAAAUUGGUGAAUAAAUCGUAAUCAAAAUUUCUAAAAAUAUAUGGAAUAAAUACGAGAAUGUUACUCAAAAACCUUCACGCUUUUGUACCAUUUUUUCUGGAUAACGAGGUUCUCUGAUGAUGCAAUUACGGGGUAAUGUAUAAAUCAAAUAGGAAAAUUUAGAUACAAAUCGUUUGAUUGUUAUCGAAAUAUUCGAAAUAAAUAGCAAACAAUAAAAUACAAAAUCAAAAAAGAAACAAAAUACAAAAUUAAUAAAAGCAAAAAAAAGUCAAAUCGAAAACCCAACAUGCGAAAACAAAUAACACAAAGGAUCAUUUUUACCAAGACUUGAUUGUGUUUUGGUCAUCGUAUGAAUUCCAAACAGCAAACCCUAAACACCAGCCGUCGUUUACGAACAGCAAAUCAUUGGGAAACAUCAAACGGAACGAAGACAAACUGGUUCAGCAAAAGAAACUGCAAACGACCUUCUAAAUUGCAAACGCUCAGACAACCUAAUCUAUGGAAGACUUCACAAUUUGUAGAGAUAUUUUGGUAUUGAAGAAAGGGUGAAGAAAUCGAUAUCCAGAGAUUUGCAAUUUCAAUUUUCGGAUUUGCAGUAAUAGGUAGAUUUGGUAACUAUUCGGUCAAACGAAAAUGGGGAGAAAAAUAAGAGAUUUGAUUUUGAGGAUUUAUUUUACCAUAUGUAGCAACAAAUUCUUAUAUGCGAUUUAAACAAACAAGAAAAACUUGCACAAAGAUAAUUUAUUGAAUUAAAAUAAAAUAUUGCGGGUUACAAAGUCUAAUUUAAUCCUCUGAUUCUUCACUCAAGAACAAUAUUUGUUUGACUUUGAAUUUCGGAGUCGGGUCGUUGACUUGAUCUUCUCCGAAUUUGAUUUGGAUUUGAAUAACGUCUUCCGAGGGUCAUGCGACUUGAAUCUCGGAUCGAACGCUGAACUUUGACGGAUUUUGACUUGAAGAUCUUGGAGUUCUUGAUGGAUUUGACCCUUCAAUCUUCCUUCGAUCUUGAUUUGUUGAAGAACUCCCUCGAUUUGAUGAAAAACGACUUGAAUUUGAUGAAGAACGACUUGGAUAUUGUAGAGAGAAUUUUCUACUACGGUUUUUCUUCUUCUUGAGUUGUGCCUUUAAUUGUGUAGGGAGGGUCCCUAUUUAUAGUGGUAGAAUAAGAGUCCUACUUAAAGUCUUCUUGAUGACGUGGCGCGAUUUGAUUGGCCACUCUUUAAAUUGAUAUUUAUCUCUUAUAACUUGGAAGAGAAGAAAUAAUCCUAUUGGCCAGUAAUUAAUUGAUAAUUAUCUCCAUAACUUAUUUUGCAAGACAAAUUAUAAUUUAAUUUAGACACAAUUUAAUUGGCUAAUUUAAUUGGCUAAUUUAAUUAACCAAUUAAUCAAUUUUAUGCGUCUACAAAUGCCCCCUCGAGACUUGUUCACGGACAAUGCAUCUUGGAGUGAAUGAGUCUCGAUAGUUGCUCAACUUCAAUUGCAGCUCGAUCAAGCAAAGCACAUAUAUCUUUUGAAAUCAUGACUGAAUUUAGAGAGAUUCUAAGUUGCCUACGUACCCUAUAAAAGGGAUCAAGUCAUAAAGUUCAAAAUAUAUCCUUUUGAGGAUGUCGUGCAGAGUUUAUACUCAUGUGGACAAGGAGAAACAUUGGCAGUUUAAGCUCGUGCUGAAGGAGCAUUUUACUUGAAUUUGUAGAUAAAUUAUGCUCGUAUCAAGGAGCCUUGACUCGAUUUCAAUAUAUAGAUAGUUUAUGCUCGUAUCGAGGAGCCUUGACUUGAUUUGGAUAUGUAGAUAGUUUAUGCUCGUAUCGAGGAGCCUUGACUUGAUUUGGAUAUGUAGAUAGUUUAUGCUCGUAUCAAGGAGCCUUGACUUGAUUUGGAUAUGUAGAUAGUUUAUGCUCGUAUCAAGGAGCCUUGAUUUGACUUGGAUAUGUAGAUAGUUUAUGCUCGUAUCAAGGAGCCUUGACUUGACUUGGAUAUAUAGAUAGUUUAUGCUCGUAUCAAGGAGCCUUGACUUGAUUUGGAUAUAUAGAUAGUUUAUGCUCGUAUCGAGGAGCCUUGACUUGAUUUGGAUAUGUAGAUAGUUUAUGCUCGUAUCAAGGAGCGUUGACUUGAUUUGAAUAUGUAGAUAGUUAUGCUCGUAUCAAGUAGCCUUGAUUUGACUUGGAUAUGUAGACCUUUGAAACUCGUGUCAAUGAGUACUUCAGUUGAUUUGGACUUGUAGACCUUUUAAACUCGUGUCAAUGAGUGUUUCAUUUGAUUUGACUUGUCAUAUUGCAUAGGGUGUUGGUUCCUCAAAACACUUGCCCCCAUCCUCAUGAUCUUCUUGUUCUUCUUCAACAUGUUCUUUAUUGAGCUGGUACGGCUUUUGGAAUGGUGGUUCUUCAAUUUGAUUUGCAAGUAUGCUCAACUCCAUAUCAUGUGCUCGAGUGGCCAACUCUUCAAAACUUUUAGGUUGAAUUACUUGAAUGAUAUAUCGGAGUCCCCAUUGCAUUCCUUGGAUGCACAGUUCAAUAGCUGAUGUCUCAGAUAGUCGAUCCUUGCAAUUAAGACUUAAAUUUCUCCAACGGUUGAUGUAGUCAAUGAUAGGUUCAUUCAUCCACUGGCGGGAAUUGGUAAGCUCAAUCAUGCUGACUGUUCUUCGAGUGCUGUAAAAGCGGUUGAGAAAUUCUUCCUCUAAGUGCUUCCAACUAUCGAUGGAGUUUGCUCCCAAAUCAAUGUACCAAUCAAUCGCAUUGUCUUUGAGCGAUCAGACGAAUUCCUUGACGAGGUGAUCUCCAUACGUGCCGGCAUCAUUGCAAGUCUCCACGAAGUGUGCCACAUGUUGCUUGGGGUUGCCUUUGCCGUCAAAUUGUUGAAACUUUGGAGGUAUAUAACCCAUUGGCAUCUUUAGAUGAUCGAUCCUUUGCGUGUAUGGCUUGACAUAGGUUGAUGGCGACUUCGAGCUUCCUUUCAACUUGUCUUCGAUUGUUCUACUGAUCAGCGUCAUCACUUGAUCUACAUGAAUCAGCCCUUCGGGAGAAACUUGAAGUUUUUGAGCUGGAGCCUUCUCGUUUUCAACUGGCUGUUGCUUUGUGGAUGUCUCGACUUCCUCUUGAGCCUCUAUCUGAUUCUCCACAGCUUGACUAGCAUCGGCUUUUUCCAUCUUGUUGAUCAACUUGGCAAUUUGAGAAUCUCGUUGUUGAACAUGCUUUGCGAGUCCCUCAAUGGCCUUUGUUAAACUUGCAAUUUGCUCUUCCAUGGUUGUAGCGUUUGUUGUCAUGACGGAUGCCACCUCUGAGUAGAUUGAUGUUGAACGAGGCGUGGGCUGUGAAAUCUCUCGUUUUGAACCUUCCAUGUCUGCGCUUGUAUUAACAAGAGGUGGUAAGCCUUUCUGAAUGGUUUGGGGCGUCGAGCUAGUCUCUGAGGAUGCUUGCAGCUUCUUAGCCAUGCUCCUUGUAACUAAGCCCACACUUGAUGAAUCCGAAGUAGCAGCCUUCAUUGCAAACGUAGAGCAGUCACUGCAACACUUCGAGGAUCUUCGAGAGAGAGAAGAGAUGAGAGGUAGAGAUAUCCCACCGGGCGUGCCAAAAUUUGUAGCAACAAAUCCUCAUCUGCGAAUUUAACAAACAAGAAAAACUUGCACAAAGAUAAUUUAUUGAAUUAAAAUAAAAUAUUGCGGGUUACAAACUCUAAUUUAAUCCUCUGAUUCUUCUCUCAAGAACAAAAUUUGUUUGACUUUGAAUUUCGGAGUCGGGUCGUUGACUUGAUCUUCUCCGAAUUUGAUUUGGAUUUGAAUAACGUCUUCCGAGGGUCUUGCGACUUGAAUCUCGGAUCGAACGCUGAACUUUGACGGAUUUUGACUUGAAGAUCUUGGAGUUCUUGAUGGAUUUGGCCCUUCAAUCUUGCUUCGAUCUUGAUUUGUUGAAGAACUCCCUCGAUUUGAUGAAAAACGACUUGAAUUUGAUGAAGAACGACUUGGAUAUUGUAGAGAGAAUUUUCUCCUACGAUUUUUCUUCUUCUUGAGUUUUGCCUUUAAUUGUGUAGGGAGGGUCCCUAUUUAUAGUGGUAGAAUAAGAGUCCUACUUAAAGUCUUCUUGAUGACGUGGCGCGAUUUGAUUGGCCACUCUUUAAAUUGAUAUUUAUCUCUUAUAACUUGGAAGAGAAGAAAUAAUCCUAUUGGCCAGUAAUUAAUUGAUAAUUAUCUCCAUAACUUAUUUUGCAAGAUAAAUUAUAAUUUAAUUUAGACACAAUUUAAUUGGCUAAUUUAAUUAACCAAUUAAUCAAUUUUAUGCGUUUACACCAUAUAUUAAUAGGGGUACUUUUGACAAAUUACAAAUAAUAAAAUCUGCUGGAAAUUAAAUUUAUUAGAUGGAUUUUAACACAUAUAGGCCUCGUUUGCUUAGUGCUAUUAACCUCUAUUAACUAAAUAGUAGGGGUUAGUAAGAUGUUUGGUUGAUGAGAUUCGUAUUUAGUCAAGCCCGCUACUACACUCAAAGCCCGCAAUUAAGUGCUAUUAUUUGGUUAAAUUAGUAGCACCCUUCCCCCUGCGAUUAAUUUUGUAGGGGUGAUUAAAAGAAGAAAAUACAAUCUUAUCCUUAAAACCAUAUCUUAAUUUAUUUUAAUUAAAAUACUUUUUAGACAAUUCACAUUAAAUACCAGAAUUUAACAAAUUUAAUACAAGAUUUAAUCUAACGAAUCAAACAUCUUAUUGACUAAAUAAUUAAUUAGUCAGUGAGGUAUUAAUCCAAUCUCACCUAAUCUAAUGUAAUCCGAUAUAGGUAAGCAAACGAGGCCAUAAUCUCUUAGAGGAGGACUUAUAUCAAAUUGCCCCAAAAAAAAGUAUAGUUGAUAUAAUAUAUAAUCAACGGGUGUAAUUUAAGAAUUUUAUAGUAGAGGGGAGAUAAAUGAAUGUUUCUAUUUAAUAUAGGGGAGGUAAGUGAAACUAAUAGUCUAAUACUACUAUAUUUGUUCUUUUAACCUCAAAUUUAAUUAUGUACAGACACAAAAAUCGAUGAUUAUAUGAUAAAAAAUAUUGAUCCACAUUAUUAAUAAAAUUCACAAUUUAAAUUUUGAUAUUAUAAAUCAACUUGUACCAAAUAAAUAUUGGAAGCACACAAUCAUCAACAUCACUAAAUAGUAAGUAUUACUAAAACACAUAACUUACAUAUUACAAUAUGUUAGUACUUUUCUCUCUCUCUCACACACACACACACACACACAUAUAUAUAUAUAUAUAUAUAUAUAUAUAUAUAUAUAUAUAUAUAUAUAUAUAUAUAUAUAUAUAUUACAAUUAAUACAGGUGACUAUGUAUAUCAACCUUUCAAAACCCAAUAGAUCUUCAAUGAAAUAAACUAAAUAAAUCCAUUUUACAAACAACUCAUUAGCAAAUGAUGACUAGGCUGUUCCAAAAGUUAAAUAUUAGUGCUCCAUUAAUGAAUUAAGGAUAUAUUUAUCGUUCUAAACUAAUCUUUUAUUUAUUUAGUCACUCCUAUUAAAUUAAUCUCAGGGAAGCGUGUUACUAAUUUAAUGAAGUAGUAGCAUUUAACACUACUUUAAUUUUAGUAGUGAAAUUUGUCAGCUGAACGUGUUUUUUUUUAGGUAAAAAACUGUUGGGUGCUAAAUACCUAACACGCAAGUGCACGUAUCGCAAACAAGUAGUAAAAGUGGACUCGUGAGAGUCGGAUGUCGAUCCCACAGGGAAUACGCAAAUUACCUAAUCCUAAGUACAAAAUUCUAACAAUUAUGAUUUUUAUUCAGCCUACGCAAGGUUGUCAAACUUAGUCAACUAAUUAAUUAAACUAAUUAUGAAAGCAAUUAAACACGAGAAAAUAUCAGUAAAAACGAACCUAGGAUUUUAUCUUCCCCCUAUGUAAGAAUUGUUCACCCAAAACCCCUCAAUUAUGAAAUAUAUGAUUCAUGAUUAUUAACCCGAGACACUAAUUUACUCAUAACCCGCUGUCGCGUGUAUUAUGAGUCUAUUAUUCAUAAACGAUUCACUAUAUGUCUAUGCAAACCAAUUAUAAAUAAAGCAUUAACUAACAAGUCUUGUAAAUGGCUACCUAAGGUGAUAUCUGUAUGUCUACGACACCACAUGCAAUUGACACACUCAUCCGGUGAAAACUACUCGAAGGCUCUUCUACUUACCGUCUAAUUAUCAAAAUAGCUCUGUCGAGUCAAUCCCAAUAAUCACAGAUAAAGCACAUAAAUUGAUCAAGUUCAUGCACUAACAAUCAUAACAAGUAAAAGAAAUAAUCAUAAAAUCAUAAUUGCAUAAUCUCAAGAAAAAGGGUUCGCAAUCCCUACAUCGGGUUCCAACAAAAUCCUAGAUUAAAAACUUAGCUACGCAUGUUCUCUACGAAAAACAUAAUAAAAACAUAAAAAGAAUAGAUUAAGAAAAGAUAGAUAAAAGAAGAAUUGAUAUGAAGAGUUGUCAAUUCUCCGUCUUCGAUUCUUCGUUCUCUCGCUCCUCUCGCUCCAAGGUUGUGUCCAAAAGUCUCUUUAAUUCGUGCUUGGUUUGUGCUUAAAUAGAUGUCCCAACUUGGUAGAUGAUUUUAGGUUUCCUUGUGUGAUUAAAAGUCCAAAAUUGUGUCCAGCGUGUGUUGGCGCGGCCGCGCGAAAAUCAGUGCAAUUCUCGCACGGCCGCGCGAGAACCACCGAAACGUUCUGCCCAAUUUCUGCAAUUGGCACGGCCGUGCCAAAAAUAGGUUAAUUUUGGCACGGCCGUGCGGGCCUGUUUUCAGCCAAUUUUCAGCAUAUUUUGAUUAUUUCACUUUUGGCCCAUAUUUUCUCCAAAUUUGCAGUUUUGACCCCAAACUUUUCCAAUUCUUCAAUUUAUACCUAAAAUACAAUCAAUCAACUUUUUAAGCACCAAUUAUCGUUAAAUCACACCAAAAGCUCAAAUAAAAAGAUACGAUAAAAUGCAAAAAUAUACACUUAUCAAAAACCAAUUUCAUUAAUCAAAUAGCAAAAAGGCCUUGAGGAUAUCUCCCUCGUUACAAGAAGAAACAGACAUAGAAGCUACAUGGUGAGCUAGAAGGUUUCCGGAACGCUUAACAAAACUAAAUUUACAUGAAACAAAAGUCUUAGCAAUUCAACAACAAUCUUCGAUGUAGGCUCCAAACGAUGAUUCCAUAAGUUCUCCUCCUUUGAGAGCCGUAAUUACUUGUAGCCAAUCCCAUUCACGUAGGGUCGCGUGAGCUUCUCCAUCAACCGGUCUCGAUCUACCCGGAUAUUUAGUCGCUGACCACCAAAUGCAUUCCCAACCUUCCCAGUAUUUUGUCAUUGGACGUGUUAUAUAUACUAGCCCCUAGCCCCCUAAUAUUUAAUCAGUGGAAGUGGUAAACAAACGAGCCAUAAACCUAUCCUAGUAAUUUCAAUUUCGUAAACUAUAAUUAGUGGUGCUUAUCAACUAAAGUCAAUUUAUAAUUUUAUUAAAAAGUAAAUUAUUUUUUUUUUCUUAAAGAGUAUUCUUUUUAAAAGAAUAAAUAAAAUUAAACCGGAAUAAUUGUCACACAAAACAAAACCUGUGUGCCAAAAUUCCAUUAGAAUUUAACCAAAGCUGUUUUGCCACUUUGUCAUCAUCAUAGAAUAAAUCAAAGUGAGGCUGAAAAGCCAAACUAUUUAAACCACAACUCUCUUCGAGUUUCUUCGAGACACCUCUGAAAUUAUAUAUAUAUAUAUCUCUCAAAUUUAUUAUUUCUAAAAAUCAUCGAUAAAAAUAAUUAUUCAGAGGAAAAUAAAAAUAAAAAUGGCAAAGGCGCGUUUGGUUGGUGUAGGAAUGGAUUACUCAGCCACAAGCAAAUCAGCUUUAAAGUGGGCAAUCCAUGAUUUUGUUGAAGAUGGUGAUCAGAUUAUCAUGAUUCAUGUAGCUUCUCCAAAAGCUGAUCCCACAAAUAAGCAGCUUUUUGCAGACACCGGCUCCCGUAUGAUUAUUUUAUUAUUAUUAUUACUAUAAUUAUUAAUUAUUUUAUUCUAAUUUCUACUAAUUGUUUUUAAUAUUUUUUUGGUGAUAUAUCAGCGUUGAUACCUUUGGAAGAAUUCAGAGAAAUGAAUGUAUCAAAGCAAUAUGGACUCACCCCUGAUUCUAAUGUUCUUGAUAUGCUUACCACACUCUCCAAAACUAAACGAGUAUGUUUGUUUAUGUGUGUGUGUGUAAAUAUUGUAUUUUUUAUAGGUCAAAUUACUGAUCACCCUGAGAUAAGGUUAAAUUACGAAAAAAUUGCAUAAUUACAAAUACCUCUCAAUUAUGUAUUAUUUUACGCAAAAAAUCUCUCCAAUUUAUAAAUUUAGGGGCGUUCAUUUGAUGAAAUUGUACAGAAAUUGCGGUACGUCAAAAUUUCAUACCGUUUACUGUUUGGUUCGAUAAAUAACCGAAUUACCAAAAUUUUAUUAAAGAUAUUUCAAAAAAAGUUUAAUUUUUUUUUUUUUGAAAAUUAAUUCUAGUUUAAAUUUUACAUACAUACAUAUAUAAAAUAAAAUAAAACCGAAUAUUACCGCACCGAAUUAAUGGUUCGGUAAUCGGCAUGUACGAAUUUUUGUUCGUUCGUUUCGAUUCGAUCGGUUUACCGACCAGGUGAACACCCCUAGGUAAAUUUGGCAUUGUAAGAGUGAACAUGUAAGAUAAUUCAUAGUUGAUGAGUGGUUCUAAUUGUACAAACAAGAGGGGUUUUUUCGUAAUUAUACCUUAACUCAUCGGUGUCCGUAAUUUGCCCUUUUUUAUAUGAUAUACGUAUGUGUGUGUGCAAUAAACACACUUUUGUGUGUGUGUGUUUGUGUUGGAAAUUAUAUAUAUGUAUAUAUGUGCAGGUGAAGGUGGUGGCUAAGGUGUAUUGGGGGGAUCCAAGGGAAAAGUUGUGUGGUGCUGUGGAGCAGCUCAAGCUUGAUUCACUUGUUUUAGGAAGCAGGGGUUUAGGUGCCAUCAAAAGGUAAAUUCUCUUUUUUAUUAAUUAUAAUUUUAUACAUGGUGAAAUACAAAUGUCUUCUUCUUUUGUUUAUUUUUUUUUUUUUUUCUAAUUAUAUAUAAUUGAUUGAUUUAGUAUGAUGAUUCUCUGACUAGUUAUUAUUAAUAAAUCGAUUUAGUAUGAUGAUUCUCUGACUAGUAAAUAUUAAUAGUACAUCAAUGCUACUGUCAACUACAAUGACAUUAUUGUACUAGAAAUAGUAGGCUGGAUAUAAUACUAUUGUGUUGAAAGUAACAAAUUAUUGUUUUGAUUGCUGGUCAGUAUAUAUUAUGAAAAAGUAAUCAAUAAAAACUAAAAAAAAAAAAAAAAAAAAAGACAAAAUUGGUGAAAUUGGAAUUAAAUUAGUGUUUACAAUUAGAGUCUAAUUAAUUGAGUUUAAAGAAUAGUGGGUAAUCUUGUCAUAAAUAUUUAGUUUGCAUUUGCUUAUAAUGCUUACAGUGGUGAAUGUAUUUACGAAAGAGAAAAAAAAUAUCUAAACCUAGAAUAAUAAAAGUUAGUGCUCAAUCCUAUUUGUACACAAUUUGGUUAGUGUUUUUGGGAUAGAAUAUGAAUUAUGACUCGAUUUUAUUUUUAGGUAAUUGCAAUCAGUACCCUAUAAAAUAUCAUAUUCCUAAAAAUGUCCAUCUAAAAUAUUAAUUAGCAAAGACCAAGUAUAUUAUGUUUUUAAAAACUCCUAAGAAUAUAAAGUGAAUUAAAAAGAAGUUGAAUAGAUCGAGUAAACGAACUUUAAAAAAACGGGUUGGGGCCAACUUGACUUUCUCAAAAUAAAGUUAUUGAAUUUUAUUUUACAACAAACUUUUUUAUGUUAUUUUAUUACAUAAACAAUUGAUUGAUUUAGUAUUCUGAUUAUAUGACUAAUAUAAGUGCAUAUAUAUAUUAAUCAAGGGUGUUACUUGGAAGCGUGAGCAACUACGUCGUACAACACGCAACUUGUCCGGUCACUGUCGUGAAGGGGACACCGUCGAGGGCCAAGCCUUAGCUUCGUCUAUUAUAUUAUUAUACAUUGCUGUGAAUUUGAAGAAACCGGUAUUGCAUUCGUGUGUUUAUGUUGUUUGAUUUAAUUGUCUCGUUAAUACAAACAUAAAAUUAAUUAUUUUCGUUGUAAAUUGAAAUAAUCCGACUUAAGGUUGAGCGGUGGUGAUGUACGAUAAAAUUAAAAUGCUCAGUGUGGAUACGUUGUGGUUUUUGCAGUUGUGACUCAUGCGUCUUCUUCGUAAAAUUUGAACAUAUGCAUUGUUUCCUUUAUUUUCCUUUUUUGAGUCGCGUACCUCCGUGAGAUUAGAAUUUAGAUGCAAGUAUAUUCAGAAUUUUACGUUUUUUUUUUUCAAAUUCUAUUUUUAUCCUUAAUGUAAUAUUGAGUCAAAUACGUUAUUGUCAGGUUUAAAUUUUUAAUUACAUAUAUACCGCUAUUAGUUCAACAAUAUUACAAAUACGCCCGUUGAAGUUUAAUUUUAUAAACUAUCAAAACAACUAUUUAGAAUAAAUCGACCAGCAUCAGCGAAUGGUGAUCGAUAUUGGAGAAAUUAAUAUUAAAUAAUACACUUCACUAACAGCUUAAGCUUUAAGUAGACUAGUACUUUACCCCGUGCGUUGCACGGUCGAAUAUUAAUUUUUUUUUAAGUACAAAUACAUAAGUGAUAGUAACAAUAAUAAUAUAAACAAAAUUACUAUAUUUAUUUAAAAUGGUACUUUACCCCGUGCAUUGCACGAUCUAAUAUUAAUUUUUUUUUUAAUACAAAUACAUAAGUGGUAGUAACAAAAAUAAUAGAAACAAAAUUAAUAGAGAUCGUAUUAAUUUAAUUUAUGUACAAAAUUAAUUUUUUCACUUCUGAUGAUGAUGGAAUUGUACAUAUUAAAUCAACUGCUCCCAGCCUCCCCUUAAUAUUGCCUGAGUUUUUUUGCGAUAAAUCAGAAUAUUAAUUUUCAAAGUGCAGAGACAAAAGUACCCCUAGGUGUACUAACAUUCCACCAAAAUGACUUUAUUGUUUCGGGACAAACCCGUCUUUUAAAUAAAGUAGCAGACAGCAAAAAACAAACAUAUAAUAAAUGAAAGUAUGUUCUUCAAAAAAAAUAAAUGAAAGUAUGAAACUAUAUAUCAUAUGAAAUAUUAAAUGAAAUAAUUCAGAAAAUGAAUUUUUAUGUUUACGACUUUAGAAAACCGGACAAACGAAUAGUUAACGGAAUUGAGUGAGCUAAAAGCCUAAAACUAAUUCAAAUUAUCUUUUUCGUGAAUAUAUAUACCCUUCAUCCUUGAGGUUGAUUGUAACUGCUAGGCUAUCAAAUUAACUAAUAAAGCAAAUUCGAUUAAAAAAAUGGCAUAUAUAUAUAUAUAUAUAUAUAUAUAUAUAUAUAUAUAUAUAUAUAUAUAUAUAUAUUAAAAAAUAACUAUACAUUAUAGAAAUUUUAUAACAUCAUAGAAUUCUCGAAAGACAACGGAAAUCUGAAAAAAAAAAAAAAUAAUCAGCACUCAUCAUCUUUUCUUGAAUCCAUACGUACUUCCUCUCAAAUAGCAUGUCAUUUUGUUCAAUGUACAUGUUCAAUCAACAAUAAACAAUAUAAACAUGGGUUGUCAAGGGUCCGAUAGGGGUUGUACUACUCGGACCUAAACGAUUUAAUCUGGUGCGUAGAAAAUAUUUAGUAAAAAAUUAUAGUCGUUGAUUUAAAGUACGAACUAGUACGAUUCAGUACGAACCUAUGAAUUUAUAAAUUAAAGUAUGAACCCAGUAAAAAUAGAUCGUACAAAGGUCGUACCCCAUCGUACUUCAUGUAAAAUUACUUUAUUAACCUUACAUUAUUAAACCAGAGAAUUAAAAGUAGGGUUAACUGUACUUUGCCCCUAACUUUGGUCAUUUUUGCUCUUUGCCCCCCAAAAAAAAAAAAAAAUUCACGAUCAUACCUCGACUAACUAAUUUCGCCCAAUUUCACCAAUUAACCAAUUUUUGACCAUAAUUUCAAUUUUAACCCCAAUUUUGACUCGCCCCCACCGGAGACAGCUAGAGACCCACGGUCUCCAGCGUUGACUCUUUUUUUUUUUUCAAUACUUAUUUUUUGUCUGAAAUUUUUUUUCCGGUAGCUCAAUCACAAGGUCUCCGGCUUUGAUUUUUUUAUUUUUAAAUUUUAUUUUUUCUAAAAAAAACUAUUUUAACUAAUAAUAAUGUAUUGGCUGUUAAAUUACUGUCUCCAGCAGUUAUUUAACUGUCGGAGAGAGUAAUUUAAUGUUAAUUAACCUUUUUUUUCUUAAAAAAAAAUAUUAAUUAAUAUUACUAUCUCGACUACUAAAUUACUGUCUCCACAGUUAUUUAACUGUCAGAGACAGUAAUUUAACUGUUAAUUGACUUUUUUUUUUUUCUUGAAAAAAAUAUUUUAAUUAAUAUUACUGUCUUGGCUACUAAAUUACUGUCUUCAAGAGUAAUUUAACUGUCGGAUACAAUAAUUGAACUGUUAAUUGACUUUCUUUUUUGAAUUUUUUUUUCUUAAAAAAAAAUAUUUUAAUUAAUAUUACUAUCUUGGCUCAAAAUUACUGUCUCCAACAGUAAUUUAACCGUCUGAGACAAUAAUAUUAUUGUAUUAAUUAAUUUUAUCGUCUUGGCCUGCAUUAUUGUUGUCUUCGAUUGUAAUAUUAUUGUUUUCGACCGUACUAUUACUGUCUCAAGCAAUAAUAUCACUGUUUGGGACAGUAAUAUUAGUAAUAUUACGGUUCGGAAAAAUAAUAUUCAUAAUAUUACUGUCCGAAACACUAAUAUUAUUGUCUGAAACAGUAAUAUUACUGUAUGAGACAGCAAUUUAGUAGGCAAGAUAGUAAUAUUAACUAAUAUAGUUUUUUCUAAGAUUUUUUUUUCAAAAACGAAAUAAAAAAAAAGUCAACGCCGGUCACCGUCCGCCUGGUCAACGCCGGAAUCUGGCCGGAAAAAAAAAUUCAGAAAAAAAUUUAUUUUCUAAAAAAAAAAUAUUUUUUCAAAAAAUUAUUAAAAUGGAGGUUAAUGUGAUAUAUUUGUUUAAAUUCGGGGUCAAUGUGUAAUAUUAAGGAAGUUAGAGUAUAAUGGAUGAAAUUGAUAAAAAAUAUAUUAUGGAGGGUAUUUUAGAGUAAAGACAUGGUGAUGGGUGUAUUUGGAAGAUUGUUGUUUAUGUGGACCAAUGUUCAUUUAAGUCCCUUGUCAUAGCUCUAAUUAUUAAUUAUUAUUAAUCGUCACUUAAGUUUUAGUUAUAGGGGUUUUUAUGUAAUUUCACUUAUAAGGUAGGUAUCAUACUUUUUUUAUGGGGUUCGUACAAAUCAUACGUGUCACAUUUUUAUUGGUUGAUUUUCAGUCGUUUGGGUCCGAGUAGUACAACCCCUCUCGGACCCUAGACAACCCCUAUAAACAUAUGGAAAAACAUUAUAAACGGACGCUCCGUUUCUAUGGAAAUAACGGAUUCCACUCAACAGCUGACAUGUGGACAAAACUUAGCACUAUUCUCUCCCUUUAUGGGACCCACUUUUAAAAACAAUUCCCUCACGCUGCGACACAAAAACAGCUGUGAAAACGACUAUAAUAUUUAACAAAACGACUACAAAAACUCAAAAACGUUAAUUUGUAGUUGUUUUCGUACAGUCAAAACAACUAUAUAAUUUAACAAAACGACUACAAAAACUCUAAAAAGUUAAUUUGUCGUUGUUUUUGUACAGUCAAAACAACUACAAAUUAUGAAUCUCAUUCAAUACCUCUCAUUUGUGCUGGCACCGCGCGAGAAGGGCCGUAACCAAUACUAAAACUUAUCCUCGUCGGGUGAAAUCUAGCGUCGCCACCAAAACACAAUGCCACCAAACCCUAGAUCGCGACUAAACCAACCCCUAGAAAAAUACUACCGCCGCCGCGCGAAAAACAACAAAAAAAACACCGUCAAUCGCGUAGUACCACCUCAUCUGCAGGAGAUCUGGACCACACCAUCAUAAUCGAGGAACAUUGAAUCGAUAAAACGUUGUGGCUUUGAAGUGGAUUGAUGGAGAAGAGAGGAGAAAAGAGUUUGCCGCAACGUCGACGAAGGAAGAACGCUUGUGGAAGAAAAAAGCGGCGGGGCACGAGACUGUCGUUGUGAGCGGCGAGAGAGAGAGAAAGAAGGGAUAAAGUGGAUAAGUGAAUAACGAUGUAAUCAAGAAGUAGAGUUAGUGAAGUAAAAAGGGUAUAUUGAGUAUACUAGGUAACAAAUGAUUUAUGAUUAAUUUAAAGGGUCUAUUAGAUAUAACCCCUUUAAACAUUCAAAUAAUAGGGGGUGGACCCAAAUUUAUAUUUGCCAUUUUGAUAACAGCCCAAACUUUUCCUAAUUACAUAAUCACCCUCAAUCAAAUCCCACAAAACCCGUUACUUUACCUUUUAAAAUAAAAUCAAAUCCCUUCCUAUUUUCCUGUUAAAUCACUAUCAUCCCAACCCCACUAUCGAGUAAACUGCAAAACCUCCCAGAACAACUUCCCGGUACGGCCGAUUGAAAGGGGAAGACGUCUGCACUGCCGUGAAACGACGAUUUUCGUGCACUCCGAGCAAGCUGUCGUAGGUACGUCGUCGCCACUCGCUGAAUCGCUAUCACCCAUCGAUUUGUUGAUAUGUUUUGGCUAAAUCGACUAUCACAUUUGUGUAAUUGCAGAUCUGUUAUAAUCGCAUACCGCAUUCGAGCACUAAAUCAGUGAUAUUGCAACAAUUGAUGGGCAGGACAUCAACCAGAAGUGAUAUCGUCGUUGGCCGCCGCCGUCGCCGUCGCCGUCACUGCUCCAAUCUAGGGUUACUCAAAUCUAGGAUUACUCAAAUCUAGGGUUUUGAUAAUUCUUCGGCCCAUAGUUGAUUAACGAGAUGCAUAGUCGAAUUACAUCUGUAUUAAUAUACUAUCCCAUAUCAUUUAAUAGACUAUCCCACUGGUAUAAUUUUACUAUGGAUCUUGUUAAUCGACUAUGGGCCGAAGAAUCAUCAAAACCCUAGAUUUGAGAAGUGACGGCGGCGGAUUUGUGUUUCAAAAUUAAUAGACUGUCUCAUAUCUUUUAAUAGACUAUCUCAUGUAUCUAAUUCGACUAUGAGUUUAGUUAAUUGACUAUUGGAAAAAUAAUAAUAUAUAUGGAAACUGAAUAAUAUGUUUGUUUGAAAUACUAAUCAAGUAGGGUAAUUUUCCUUAUUAUAUGAAAACGAUUAGGGUAAAUAAUAAUAUAUAUGAAAAAAUAAUAAUAUAUAUGGAAACUGAAUAAUAUGUUUGUUUGAAAUACUAAUCAAUUAGGGUAAUGUUCCUUAUAUCAUGUAAUAAAUUAUCGUAUUCAUCUAAUUCGACUAUGGAUCUCGUUAAUCUACUAUGGAUCCCGUAUUAUUCAACCACAUAGUAUAUUAAUAAUUUCAAUAUAGUACAUUGAUCUGCUAUGAGAGUAUAUUACGGUCAUAGUAGUGAUAUGAAUUGUGUUACAAACAAUAUACCACUUAAAUGACAAGAACAUUGAGAACAACACCAACGUAAAGUAUUCCAACAUAACCAAUAAAAUAGUACAUUAAUAAUCUCAUAAUUUCAAUCUAGGGUUUUGAUAAAAUACAUAAAACACAUCAUAACACAAUCAAACCAAUAUGUCGAGUUAAAAAACUCUAGUACAUUAAUAAUCUCAUAAUAGUAUAAUAAAAUGAUAACGGUAGUAUCAUACGGUAUUCAUAAUAGUAUACUACUGUAUUACAACGGUUUAAAACUUAACCGAAGUUACCGAGCCAUUACAUCGUAAACACCUCUUUAUAGCAACCAACCCACCAAACCUCAACAAAAUCCUUACGAAAUUCGCCAUCGAAAAAACCUAAAAUCAUGAAACAAAAUAAAAAAUGCAGAAUACUAAAAAAUGAUUAAAUAGACUGCAAAUACAUUUGAAUGACAAUACAUUAAUAUCAUCAAAAAUGAACUUAAAAUGCAAAAUCCAUACGCUAAUUUAAAAAAAACUACGAACUAUAUUUUAAUGUACUACCCAGCACACUUAAAUCGGCUGUUAUAAACAAAUAAACCAACUAUCGAUCGGGAUCAAAAACAUGAACUCGACCACAGCGGACAAUUAUUCCGAUUAUUGCAUAAACCAACUACGAAGCUCAUAUAAAACAACUCUGGUCCGAUCUGCGUGAAUCAUCCUCUUCUAACUCUGUCAAUCCUCUUCCAAACAAACAUCAUCCGCCAAAAAUAACGAUGUAUAUAUGACGAUGUAAUUUUGUUAAAAAACGUUCUACUUCAUAGAGCCAAGUAUCAACACAACUCUUAAAAUUUCUAACCACCGUAAUCGACAAUCCUAGACAUUGAGCGAAAAAUAAAAACGAAUAACGCAUUCAUACCCGGUUAACAACGUCCAACAACGAACGCUCAAAUUCGAUCCUAUUUCAACGACGGUGCAGAAAUCUUCAAAGACGAUAAAGAACCGUUGGAACGCUGAAGAGAACCUUCGAAAAAUAUUGUACACGAUUUGAUAUAACGGCCAAUGAUCUCACGCAAUUUUAUUCCGUGAUUUUAGGCAACGUAUCAGCAAAUCUCAAAUCACGUAGUAAAGGAAAUAAAUGCCGUUUAAAAAUAAAACAGGGGUAUUAAAGGAAAAUUAUAUAAUAUAUUUUGCCAAGUUGGCAAAAUUGGGUCUAUCUCAAAAAGAGGAAAAAAAAAUUGGAUCUACCUCAUUAAAAAAUAUAAACAAGGGAGUUAUCCCUAAUAAACCCUAAUUUAAAUAGCAAAUGAGGGGAUCUUGAUAAAAUACAAAUAUCAAAUGGAUUGGUAUGAUGUGCAAGUGUAAUUGAAGGGGUAAUUAACCUAAGAAUGGGGUCAAAUUACUUUCCAACAUUAUUUAUUUUCCUAUAUUAAUUUCUCAAUUCCAACAAUUUCAGGGUAUCACAGAUCAAUCUUUUCACAUAAGGUUUAUUAUAUAUAACGUCGUAUUAACACGAAUUUUUGCUAAAAAAAUCAAGAUUGAUAAAGUUAGUUUUAUUUAAUAUUAAUUUUCAGUUACUUUAUUUUAGCAAUUUGUUGAACACCGAAAGGCGUCUCUCUCUGAUUGGUUGAGGGGGGCGGACCCCACCGGGGAAGACGAAAGUAGGUAUCUCUUUUUGCUUUAUAUGGAAUACUUGAAUUAACAUGUUAUCCUUCCACGAUGCGUAUUCGUAUACGUCAUAAUUGAUAAAUUCAUCAACCGUUGUUCUUAAAUCGACUUGUAAUUGGCUUUCCUUAGGAUUAAUAGUACUCCCUUGUUGUUUCCGUUGCAAGCCCAUGAAAUAGCUAUGCUAAAAUGGCUUCGAUUUCUCCGAAAAUUCACCGGGGUGUGGAUGACACUGUACCAUCCCAUUCUUGUCCCUUUUAAUCUGGAAUUAAUCAAUCGAAUUAAACCCCAACCAAACAAAAAAAAUCGGAGGGGCAAAUGUGCAAAAAAAUAAUAUUUUAAGGGGCAACGUGCAAUCAAUUUCGGUGAACAAACCAUCGGAAUUGGGCUAUCGGGGAAACGUGCAACAAAAUAACAUUUUGAAGGGGGAAAGUGCGAAAAUUGUCUAAUUUUCGUUCAUAUCAGAACAGUCAUAAUUUUUCCAUUUGACUAAAAGUCGACCAGGCAAACUUUUGUUCGGUCAACUUAGUUAGAGAGCUUAAUGUCACGAACUUGUUCUCUUAACAACGAACACUACAAGAAAUAUUGGUUUUAGUGACGAUUUUGUAUGGUCGCUAAAAGUUAGAAAAUGGUAGCUAAAACUUCUAGCGACCAAAGUAAGCUUGGUCACCGGUGGUCACAAUAGGGUAGCUAUAACUAAGUCAACUUUCCCCAAAGUGUUGCGAAUGCUAAGUGAUGAAAAAACGAACAAAGAACUUAAGAAGAUACGAGAGCUUUGUAGGAAAGUACUUGUAUUUGAGUGCUUUGGAUUUCUUGGAUUUGUUGGAAUGCUAACAAAUGAAGUUCCUACUCCUAUUUAUACUAGGCCAGCUCCUUAAUGGACGGUGUAGAUUUAUUUGAUCUAAUGGUUAGGAGUUGUUCACUAGAACACUCCAAAGAAUUCUUACAAAAUAUCUACAAAUGGAGGGUUCUAGAAAGUUUUAUAAUCCUUCAAGAAUUUCUACCAACUCUAUGUACACUUGGGCCAACUUGGGCCUAACCCUAUUUGAGCUAAGUUUUGAACUCAUUAAUCUCUCCAACCCAAAAGAAUCUGGCAAAGGAUUGGGCCAAAACUGGCGGACCGUGACAUUAGACUCAAAACAAAUAUUUAGACUGAAUAUUUCGUUCACCUCCACCUCAUUUGUACUAAAAAAAACAUAUUAACUCUAAAAUUGGUAUUUCUAUUCCAUUUCUCCGCCUCUCCUUACCAGUCUCGCACCGCCGACCGCCUAAUUUUCGCCAACCAAGCAGUGGGAAAGGUUUUUGUCAUCGGACGUAUUUCUCUUUUUCAGUCUAAGAUGUCUAAAUUUUCAGUAUAAAUUUUCUAACUAAGUUGUCCAUUUUUAGUCUAACUAGACUCUCUAUUUUCAAUCUAAGCUCUCUAACUAAGAUGUCUAUUUUUAGUCUAAGAUGUCCAAAAUAAGUUGUCCAAGAGUUUUUUUAGCAAAUUCAAAAUAUUCAAACACAGUGUUAUCUAAAAAAAUAUAUUUUACUGGGUUGUUGCCAAUUUUUCUUUAAUUUUAUGCUAUACAAUAAGAGCAACUCCAAUGGAGGAACUAAAUGGGGUAUCAAACUAAAAAACUACCACUUUGAUGCUCCAAAAUUAAAAAAUCCUCCUCCAAUGGAGGUAUUAAAGGGAGAACUAUUUUGAUAUUCAACCACCCCGAGGUGCAAAAAUACUCCCUGGAAAAUGAGGUAUCAAAAAUGUAACCACUCUAUUAACCUAUCACAAUUUGCCACGUGGCAUUUAAUAAUAUAAUUAUUCAUAUAUUUAAAAUUUGAUAAUCUAUUUGAUACUUGUGGUUGGAGUGAAUUUUUUUUCUAGAAGUAUCAAAGUAUUAUAUCAAGUAUCAAAUGAAUGUUUAAUGCUCCAUUUUGAUGUCUCUCCAUUCGAGUUGCUCUAAAUAAAAUAAAAGAAAUUCUAGAUCCUCAUAUUAAUAGCAAUAAAAUAUAAAAAAAUUUGGAGGGUUGGAAAAGGAACGGAGACAUAAGUAUUCGAUGGAUGAGAUGGAGUAAACUAGCUCGAGCAAAAAAUAAUGGUGGUAUGGGUUUUCGGGAGCUUCAAGCGUUUAACCUUGCGUUUCUGGCUAAACAUGGAUAGAGGAUUCUGACCAGUCCCACAUCACUAGCAACUAAAGUGUUUAAAGGUAAAUACUUUUAUAACUCCAAUUUAUUCGAUGCUAAAUUAGGCAGUAAUCCUUGUUGGAGAAAAAAACUAUAAAAAGCAAUAUUUUGUAAAGAAAAAGAAUUGCUCCAUCGUGAUACGUGAUUUUCAUAGAAAAUAUAUCAGCUUCAAGGCUUUGUGGUGAAGACACCAAGAUUCAAGAAUUAUCACAAGUUUGCUUCUUCUAUACAAAAAGAAGACCGAUUCUUCGGGAGAGGGGCUUAAACAGAUCUCGGGAGAAGAUCAAUCCGCCGACUGAAGGGAUUCAGCGUUGAAGGGAGUUCAACCGAGCGGAGAGGAGGCUGGCAUAAUUGGAGUUACUAGUUUUGAGUAUUGCACAAGAACGGCAUCAAGAUAAAGAGGGAGUAUUUAAUUUACUGUUUAAGUCCUAAUAUUGUGCCUGUAAAACUAAAAUAGUGAAUAUUCGUUUUUUGCAGAUCCUCGUGGAUGUAGGCUACAAUUGUAUACGAACCACAUUAAAUUUGUGUUUCGUUUAAUUCUGUUUUUACAAACUGUUUCACGAACUGUUGCAACACUUCACGCGCUAGUAACGAAAAACUGAAUCAGACACAAAUAAUUAAUAUUUGCACGAAAUAAAUUCUAACACACCCGAUUCUCGUUAUCAUUUUUCAGCAUGAUCUCGAGCUCCUUCACGAACACAUCCAUGGCGUUCUUUUGUAAGGAAAUGGGAACAAUAAUCCCGUUCUCACCCUUUUUAUUUUUGAAGGGUACGUAAUAGCUCGAUAACCCGGGUACAACACCGACUUCGCCUUUCGCCGGGCCUCCAUAAACGGGUUUGCCCCAUCCAAAAUCGACAUCUCCGAAGCCCUAAUGCCUUAUAUCGGACACCGCGUAAUUCCCAACCAAUGUGAAAUGGGGCCGACCUCUGAUUACCAGAAGAUCCGCCACCGAUUUAACGUGCUCUUCCGUUGCCUUUGUUUUCGCCUUCAUCACGAGUUCCACCGCGUAAUGAAAUGGAUUUUUGGAUAGGCUUUCCGCGGUGGAAAUGGCGGCCACUAAAACAAAAGCGUUGCCGUAGGCCCGUAGUACCCAGCAGGGAGUGGAGGAUUGAUCCGCUUCCGGCAGUUUAUGAUGCAUAGGAUCCUGACCUCUUUGUUAGGGUCCGGAGAGAGCGAUCGUGCGGCAGCGCCAUAGGCAGGCUGUCAGGAGUUCGAACUUGGUGCAGUUGCGGUGUAGGUGUGGCGGCAGGCGGCCGUCAAGGGCGGAUAUUGCGGGGGCGCCGAAGAAGAAGGAGCGGUGCACCAUGUCGUCGUCGAGUAUAAUUGGGAUAUUAUUAACAACGUCAUCGUACUCGUGGUGCGUGCAUGUCACGCGUGGCGGAUUACGCGCGCUGAGGAUGUGCCUUUCCCAAAUUGGUUGUAUUGAAGGGGCUUCAGCAGCGAAUUCUCCUACGGCAGACAUAAAUUCGGCGAUUCCGGUACCGUCACUCAUUAUAUUGUGUGGUUGAGGCGGAGGGAGAAGAUGAACCCACCGCAUUUCAGGCGCGUGACCUGCAAAAAUUAGGUGCGAGUUCAAGAGUGAUAAUAAAAAGGAUAAAUUUCACUUUCCCUGUACUUUGGCUCGAUAUCAUUUUACCCCCUUCUACUCCUGAUUGGAUCGAUUUGCCCCUUGUAUUUGAAAAAUUGUUUUAAUGUGGCCCUCGCCCUUAGUUUUCAGAUCUUUGACCUUAACACAGUUUGAUCUAUUUCUAAAAAUUACAAAAAAUAUCACCCCUCCCAGUUUAAAUAAUUAUUAAAAAAAAAAAAAUUGUGGCUGGCGUCGUGAACUAUGUUUUCUCGUUGUCUUGAAUUUUUAAAUUUCUUUUUUAAUACUCCCUCCUUCCCUCAAUAGUUGUCACUUUUCUUAGUUGCACACAUAUUAAGAAAUUCAAUAAAUAUGCAUAGAUAGUAGCAAAAAGUAUAGUAAAUCACUAAAAUGCCCAUACCAUUAAUUAAUUUUUAAAUAAUUAUAUUUCAAUUAAUUAUGAGUGAUGAAGGGCAAAAUUGAAAAAUUGCAAUUAAUUAUUUAUUUGAAUAAUAAAAUGACAAAUAAUUUGAAAUAUGAAAAAAUGGCAAAAGUGACAAAUAUUAAGGGAAGGAGGGAGUAAUUAUUUAAACUCGGAGAUGUGGCGUUUUUGUAAUUUCACAUCUUAGGUCAAACGGUGUUAAUGUCAAAUAUCCGACAACUAAGAACGAGGGCCACAUUGAGACAAUUCGGUAUAGAUUAAAAAGAGCAACACCAGUAUUAGCCAAGGUCUAAAAUUUCCCUCUACACACCGAAUUUCACAUAAAUACUCAAUGCUGAAGAUGUCACUUCAUCGUCCGAAAGGAUGGAAAUUAGGGUUGUCACAAAUUAGCAUGUUUGUAGUAACAAAGGAUGAUCAUGACUAACUAGUGGAUUUCGACGGCAACACGAAAGGGUAUAAUUGAGAACACAAUUAAAUAUAUAUACUUAUAUACAUAACUGAAUAAGCAAUAAAGGACAAUUAGUGAUUCCACCGGAACCGGGGACGUCAUAAAGCAGCUCGUCAAGGCAUGGUACCGGCGGUCGAAUUUCAUCACCAAACUGCUCCAACGCCACAUCAGCAUCCGCCUCAAUGAACAUAACCCCCUCGCCGGUGCACUCCACCACCAGCUUCCUGGCGGCGUGCUCCCUCAGCCGCCCGGCAAAUGGGUAGUAAGGAACCAAAGCCUUGGCAAUAGCUUUACGGAUAACCUCAACGGGGUCCGCUUCGACGGAGGGAAUACUCCGGUAUAAUUGUAUGAACGGAACAUGGAAACGGAGGCCCUCUUGAUCGUCUAUAUCGGAGAGGGGUUUGAAUUCGUGGGGUGUCGGCUUCGCCGGAAGGAUUAGCUCUGGGUUUCGCCUCGUUACGUUGAAAAUCAAAGGUUUUGUUAUUAGGGCCAUAGUAUUAAUUACUCUAUUAUAUGGGUGGAGAAAAUGUAGUACUAAUCAAUAAAUUGGUGAAUUUAUACUUGUGAUAUGAUGCAUGUGAAUUUUCACAAAUCACAAAUAUAAAUUAUGUUGUUUCAGAUAAAUUGAAUGGUCGUCGUCAACCGAACAUGUUACUACUCUAUAUUAUUUAAUCAAUUGGACUUAAUGUAUAAAGCAUCCAAACAUGAUUUUUAAGGCUACGUUUUCAAUGUUCAAGUUGAUAAGAGAGUGGUCACACUCGCACGAGUCACAUGUUCGGUUGUGAAUAUAAGUUUAGAAACCUCAAAAUAUCUUAUUUUAUUACCAAAUUAAUACAUAAACCGACUAAAAUAAUUAAAAUAUUUCAUUAAAAUAAAUAAAUAAAUUCAACCAUUUCUCACGGGAAUACAUAUGAGGAUGUUUGGUUAUGUUUCCAAUGAGAAUUUAUAGUUUUCAAAAUUUCUGAUGGAAAAAGUAGUUUAUUGGUUUUUGUGUAGAAAAUGGGAAUAUGUUGGACGAAGGCGUAUUUUUAGUUUUAUGUAGGUGUAGAAAUGGGAAUAUGUUUGGUUGUGUUAAAUUUUCUCUACGAAAGUACGUGCAAAAGAAGAAUAUAAUGAUUGAGGAUGAUGAUAGUGAUUAUUAUUAUUAUUAUUAUUAUUAUUAUUAUUAUUAUUAUUAUUAGAAGAAGAAAGAGAAAUUGGGAGGAGAGAGACUGUAGAUAUUAAUGAGGAGAGACUAAUGAGGAGAGACAAAUGAGAGAAGAGAGAGUGUAAAUAUUAAUGAGCAGUGAUGAAUAGAAGAAGAGAGAAAUGAGUUGGUCGAAUAAAAUAUAGGGCGAAUGGCAAAAAGGCCCAUCACAUGGGACUUAAAUGUAUUUUGGUCCACAAAAAUACCCUCCAUAAUAUAAUUCUUAUCAAUUCCACCCAUUAUGCACUAACUUCAUUAAUAUUACACAUUGACCCCGAAUUUAAACAAAUAUAUCACAUUAACCCCCCAAUUUUUUUUUUCAGAAAAUAAUUUUUUUUCUGAAAUCUUUUUUUCCGGCCAGAUUCCGGCGUUGACUUUUUUUUUUCCUAGAAAAAAAUAUUUUAAUUAAUAUUACUGUCUUGGCUACUAAAUUACUGUCUCAGACAGUAAUACUACUGUUUGGGACAGUAAUAUUAUGAAUAUUAUUUUCAGGACCAAUAAUAUUAUUAAUAUUAUUGUCUAAGACAGUUAAAUUACUGUUGGAGACAGUAAUUUAGCAUCCAAGGCAGUAAUAUUAAUUAAAAUAAUUUUUUUAAGAAAAAAAAAGUCAAUUAACAGUUAAAUUACUGUCUCCGACUGUUAAAUAACUGCUGGAGACAGUAAUUUAGCAACGAAUACAGUAAUAGUAAUAAAAAAUAUUUUUUUUAAGAAUAAAAAGUCAAUUAACAGUUAAAUUACUGUCUCCGGCAGUUAAAUAACUGCUGGAGACAGUAAUUUAGCAACGAAUACAGUAAUAUUAAUUAAAAUAUUUUUGAAGAAAAAAAAAAGAGUCAAUUAACAGUUAAAUUACUGUCUUCAACAGUUAAAUAACUGCCGGAGACAGUAAUUUAGCCGCCAUAGCCAUCGACCAAAAUAAACCCUACCCUACCUUCAAAAACCUAGUCGUCCACCAACCCUAGCAGCCGACCAAAUUAAACCCUAGCCAUCGACAAAAUUAGACCCUAGCCGGCAUAGCGGUAGACCAAAUUAAAACCUAGCCACCAUCCACCGUAGACCUGACCAGAUUAAACCUUAGCCAUCGACCAAAUUAAAUCCUAUCGUCAUAGUCGUCGACCAAAUUAAACCCUAGCCGUCGACCAAAUUAAAACUUAGCCACCAUCCGCCGUAGAUCUUGUUGAAAUAAUAAACUAGAUUAAGUGUAUUAAGGAAUAUUCUAGAAGGUUAAUUAAUGUAUUAGCUUAUUCAUGCAUUUGGUUUUAAUUAAAGUUCAUGUACUAGUUAGAGGGGAAGAAUUAAAUUAAAUAGUGAUACAUGCACUAGACUAGAUUCAUGUUGUGAAAAUCCUAUAAAUACCACAUGAACUCUAGCCAUUUGUAACAAGUCAAGUUUUCAAGUUUAAUAGAAUUUUCCUAUUCUCCUCCACUUCUCGUGUGUGUGUGUGUGUAUGUGUGAGUGAGUGUUGAGUGAGUGUGCUCUCCAUAUGUCGAACGGAAUUUCAUUUCAAGUUCCAAAAAUCACAAAAGAAAAUUAUUGAACUUGGUGCAUCCGAAUGAAGGCGUUGCUUGGAGCUUAUGAUGCUUGGGAACGGGUUGAGAAUGGAGUUGAGGGGGAAGAUGGUGCCUCCGUAAAGAAAGAUCAAAAGACCCUUACAGUCAUUCAUCAAGGCCCAGAUGAGAUGAUGUUUGAGAAGGUUCCUAGCGCGACCACCUCCAAGCAAGCAUGGGAUAUUCUUCAAACUUCUUUUAAAGGAGUUGAUAAAGUAAAGAGAGUUCGUCUCCAAACAUUAGCAGGAGAAUUUACUUCACAUGAAUUUAUGGAUUUCUUUGGAGUAAAUGGCAUACAUCGUCCUAUGACGGUUCCAAGAUCACCACAACAAAAUGGCGUGGUUGGACGAAAGAACCGGACAAUUCUUAAUAUGGCAAGGAGUAUGUAGUAAAGUAAAAAUAUGCCGAAGGAACUAUGGGCUGAAGUGGUGGCAUGUGCUGUCUACUUAUCCAAUCGGAGUCAUACUAAAGGUGUUCGUGAAAAAACGCCUCAAGAAGCAUGGAACGGAUUCAAGCCAAGUGUUUCACACUUGCGAGUUUUCGGAAGUAUAGCCUAUGCACAUGUACCGGAUCAAAAGAGGACUAAGUUGGAUGAUAAAAGUGAAAGGUACGUGGUUAUCGGCUAUGAUCAAAAUUCAAAAGGGUAUAAAUUGUACAAUCCAAGCAAUGGAAAAAUUAUUCUCACUCGAGAUGUGGUGAUGAACAAAGCAGUUGGGAAUGGGAUAAUUCAAAAGAGGAGUACAAUUUUUAUCCAUUCUUUGAUGAAAAUGAUGGUGAUUUACAUCCUACUAGUCCACCUCCACCACAAAGUCCGGCAAUUGGAGAAGCAAGUUCUAGCGAAGGACCUCGGAGAACUAGAAGUCUAAGAGACUUGUAUGAUGCAACCGAUGAGGUGACACCAAAUUUUGGUAAUUUAAACCAUUUCUGUUUUUUUGGUGAUUGUGAACCUUUAGGUUACGAAGAAGCUGCAUGUGAUAAGAAAUUGAGAGAGGCCAUGGAUGAAGAAAUCAAGGCAAUCAAGAAAAACGAAACAUGGGAGUUGGCAAAAUUACCAAACGGGAAAAGCACCAUCGGAGUCAAAUGGGUGUACAAAAUAAAAAGAAAUUCCAAAGGCGAGGUGGAGAGAUAUAAAGCAAGAUUGGUGGCAAAAGGCUACAAACAAAAGGUCGGCGUUGACUAUGGUGAGGUUUUUGCUCCGGUUGCUCGUUUGGAAACUAUUCGCUUAAUGAUUUCUCUAGCAGCCCAGAAUCAAUGGCAAAUCCAUCAAAUGGAUGUGAAGUCCACUUUCUUGAAUGGUAUUUUGGAGGAGUAAGUCUACAUUGAUCAACCUUUGGUUUAUGAGGUUAAAGGGGAAGAAGACAAGGUCUUGAAAUUAAAGAAAACUCUUUAUGGCUUAAAGCAAGCACCUCGUGCAUAGAAUAGUAGAAUCGAUCAAUAUUUUCAAGAAAAUGAUUUUUCAAAAUGUCCACAUGAACAUGCACUUUAUGUGAAGAAGUCUAAAAGUGGUGACAUGUUGCUUGUUUGUUUGUACGUCGAUGACUUGAUUUUGACAGGAAAUAAUCCAAAGAUGUUCGAGGAGUUCAAGAUGGCUAUGGCUAAAGAGUUCGAGAUGACACAUAUUGGCUUAAUGUCCUACUACCUUGGCAUUGAGGUGAAACAAGAAAGCGACGGUAUCUUUAUUUCUCAAGAAAGAUACGCCAAGGAAAUUCUCAAAAAUUUUGAUAUGGAGAAUUGCAAGCCGGUUAGCACUCCGGUGGAAUGUGGAGUCAAGCUUUCAAGACAAUGAAAUGGUAAAGUCAAUCCUACAAACUUCAAAAGUUUGAUUGGCAGUUUGAGGUAUUUGACUUGUACACGACCGGAUAUUCUAUUUGCCGUUCGGUUAGUUAAUCGUUUCAGGGAAGUUCCUACUACUUCUCAUUUGAAGAUUGCAAAGAGAAUACUUCGGUACAUCAAAGGUACACUUGACUAUGGGAUUUUAUAUUCUCAUUCUCAAAUUUUGAAAUUGUUGGUUAUUUUGAUAGUGACUGGGCCGGUGACAUUGAUGAUUGUAAGAGUACUGCCUGGUUUGUAUUCUUUAUAGGAAAUUCAUCUUUUACUUUGAGUUAAAAGAAACAACCCAUUGUUACUCUUUCUACUUGUGAAGCGGAAUUUGUAGCAGCAACUUCUUGUGUUUGCCAUGCGAUUUGACUUAGGAGUUUGAUGGAAGAAUUUCACGAACCACAAGAAGACCUGACGAAGAUUUUUGUUGACAACAAAUCAGCACUUGCAUUGUCAAAGAAUCCAGUGUUUCACGAAAUGAGCAAACAUAUUCAAACAAAGUAUCAUUUCAUACGAGAAAGUGUUUCUAAGAAAGAAGUGGAACUUGAGUUUAUGAAGUCUCAAGAUCAAGUUGCCGACAUAUUCACCAAACCUUUGAAGAGUGAAGUGUUUCAAAGAUUGCGAAUGUCUCUUGGUGUGAUGAAUCUAGUUGAAGGGGGAGUGUUGAAAUAAUAAACUAGAUUAAGUGUAUUAAGGAAUAUUAUAGAAGGUUAAUUCGCAUGUAGUAGCUUAUUCAUGUAUUUGGUUUUAAUUAAAGUUCAUGUACUAGUUAAAGGGGAAGAAUUAAAUUAAAUAGUGCUACAUGUACUAGACUAGAUUCAUGUUGGGAAAAUCCUAUAAAUACCACAUGAACUUUAGCCAUUUGUAACAAGUCAAGGUUUCAAGUUUAAUAGAAUUCUCCUAUUCUCAUCCACUUCUCGUGUGUGUGUGUGUGUGUGUGUGUGUGUGUGUGUGUGUGUGUGUGUGUGUGAGUGUUGAGUGAGUGUUCUCUCCAUAUUCUAUCUGACAUAGUCGUCGUAACCUCCUGCCUCCAUAACCAUCCUCUUAUUAACGCCCCUCCACCGAGAUAGUUGCGCCAUAGCCAUUGCCCCCUCAGCAAUGGCGAGAAGUGAUGGAGAGGGAGAGCGAGAGAAAGAGAAACGAAAGAGGAAGAAAGAGAGAAAGUGAAACGAGAGAGGGAGAAAGAGAGAAAGAGAAACGAGAGAGGGAAGAGGGAGAACGAGAGAGAGAUAAGAGAGAAGAAAAUAAGAAAAAUAGAUCUCGGGGAAACGUGUUGAAUUUAUGGAUUUACAUUGAGGGCAAGUUUGGGAUUAAAAAAAAUAAAGGAUGUGGGUCAUAUUUAUUUUUGUAAAAAGAAUUUAGUUCAGAAAAAAAUAUUAGAGUUGUAUCUCAUAUCUAAUUAUGUUUCCAACUAGGGACCUCUAGCAUAUUAACCCUUAAAUAAUACAACUGUGCAAAAGAAUUCCAAAUUAACAAGAUUAUUUGUAAUUUUUUGGAGAAUUUUGGAAAUAUUUAGAUUUUUUUAGAGAAAAUUGAUGAAAAAUAUUAAGGGGUGGUAACUGGGUUUUAUCUAAUUUGCGUUCUAUUACAACUGUGAUGUUAUGUCGCCUUGGACAAUUUUAUCGCGGCAUUCUCGUCAAACUAUGAAACUGGCACGAACAAUAAGGCUGAGUUGUUGGCUGAUUGAAGGGCUGAAAUUGUGUCGCUGCUUGGGCAUCAAGUUUCUACAAGUCGAGAGUGAUUCGUUAUUGAUUGUUAACGUGAUUAAUCAAGGGGCCAAUAUUAAUUGGAACUGGAAUAUUUAGCUCGCGAAUGUAAAGAUUUGUGCAAUAGUCUCUCUAUCAUAUGUUCUCAUAUUUUUCGACAGCAGAACAUCGUGCCAGAUAAGCUUGCAGCUGUGACUCACUCUCACGUGAACACGGAAGAGUUACGUUUUUUCAAACGGAUGAUCUUCCUCGAUCGGUUUGGCCUGGGUGGCUUUCGGAGCAACUACCUGGGAAUAUGGGAGUUUCGGGCUUAGUUGGCUUCUUGAUGGAUCGAAAUUAUUCUUGCGAUUUUAAUAGAUUUUAAAAGAAGGGUUUGCUGGGCUGUUUUGUAGCUUUGGCUAAAUUGCAUAUUCAACCCCACCUUGGGUCCAUCCUGCAAUUAUUGAGGAUUACUCUUCUUAGGAAUAGUAGUUGUUGUUCUUUCAUUUUUUGCCCUAUUUCUGGGCUCUUUUGUAAUAGAUUGUAUAGCACUUUGAUUGUCCUUUUUUGGCCUUUCGAUUGUAGAGGUACUCUUUUCCUUGUGUAAGCUCACACGGUUUUUAACGAGGCCCCCUUGUACUUUGAAAAGUAUUUAAUGGAAAAACUAAAUUGGCAAAAAAAAAGGAGGAAUUCUCAUGUUACAUGCACAUGAAUGCAUUAUUAAAAUACAGCUCACUAAAUCACGCCGAGAGGGAAGUCUUUUUUUUUGAAAUUGAAACCAUAGACGGUCCAAGAAGGCCUCAACCAUAUCUAUGGUAAAAUCGAUCUCAGGCCCAGAUCGCCCUCCUUAACCAGUCCUAGGCCGAUCGCUAAACGAUCUAAUAGAUAGAUACAACGUCUGUCGCCAUAGGACCCCAAAAAAACAGGGCGAUACACGAUCUGGGUCUGUGAUGAAUUCAACCUUAUUUAAUUUGGUCCCAGGUCGCAAUCCGCGUGUGUGGGAUCGCGAUGUGGAUCUUGUAAUGUUUUGGGUGCUCUCGGUAAUUGGCCCUCAGAUCGCGGUCCGAAUGGAGAGGAUCACAAUCUGUCAUAUUGUUGGUCGAAAACCUACACGCAAGUGCACGUAUCGUACAAGUAAUAUAGUGGACUAAAAGUCCGGAUAUCGAACCCACAUGGAAUAUUUAAUUAUCUAAUCCUAGACGCUAAAUUCUACCAAUUAUUAUCAAGCCCACCCUACACAGUCGACUUUAGAGAGAAUUAACUAAAAUAAAUUAAAAAGCAAGUUAAAACGACAAAGCAAGAAAGAAAAUUAAACACGAAGAUUUAUCAGAGUAAACGAGCCUAGGAUUUUAUUCUCCCCCCUAUGUGAUUAUUAUUCCCCCAAUUCCUUCAAUUAUGCAAGCAAUUAACCCGGAUUAUUAACCUGAGAUGCUAAAAUAAUCAUAACCCGCUUCCGCGUGUAUUACGAUUCUAAUACUCAAGAUUCAAUUACUAUAUUCCUAUGCAAUUAAUUCUAGAACACAACAUUAAGCACAAAUCUCAAUAAUGGCUACCUAAGAGAUUAACUAUAUUCCUAUGUUAAUACCACAAAGGCUCUUCUACCACAGUUCUAAUUAUUAACCCGAUCUUCCGAUUCAUGCGAUUAACAAUAACAUAAAAGCGCAUAAAGUGGCCAGUUUCAUGAACUUAAUAAAACAAGUAGAAGAAAUAAUCCGGAAUUAAAACUUGCAUAAAAUCAUAGAAUUGGGUUCAUAAAUCCCACAUAGGGUUCCAAAUAAAAUCCUAGAAAUAAGAAAUUUAGCUACUCAUGAUUAAAGGAAAAACACAAAUAAAAUAAAUCAUAGACGAUAAAUCUAUGCUUGAAGUCUUCGAAUUCUUCGUCUUCGUUAUUGCUUUGUUGCUCUCCAAAUUGCGUAAAAAGAUCCCUAAUUGUGUGCUUGGAUUGGUCUUAUAUAGGGUGAAGAACUUGGGGAAGAAGGCAGUUUCCUUGUGCAAUUAAAAUCCCUUUAGUGCGCAACUUCGGGGUAUGGGACGGGGGUCCCAUAAUUUGCACUAAAACUGGGACGGGGGUCCGAGCCUUGUUUCUUCAGAAUUUUGAUAUUUUCACUUUUGACCCAUAUUUUCGCCAAAAUUGCAGUUUUGACCCCAUACUUUUCCAAUUCUUCAAUUUGUACCUAAAAUACAAUAAAUCAACUUUUUAAGCACCAAUUAUCGUUAAAACACACCAAAAGCUCAAAUAAAAAGAUGCGAUAAAGUGUAAAAAUAUACACUUAACACAUAUGCGUCAACUUCAAACACUGUUUUAACUCUUUUGCAGUCCAAAUUGGACAAAAGUGCUUCACAAAAGUUGUAGCACUGACUGUUGGCUUUUUCACUUUACUUGAAAAAUCAACUCAACCGAAGGUCAUAUGAGGGAGGUAUGUGUGACAUACCGAACACUGCUACACUCCGCUAGAAUCAACUUUACACUUGUUUAGCUUGAUUGUCGAUUUCGCUUCAAAAAUCGUUUCGAAUUGGGAAAAAUAGUUCUCUUUACCUAAAACUAAAAUAAAACAAGAAAGACAUAAUAUAUAAAAAUAAAAAACUCGGACGAACGAAGACCAUAAUAUAUUACCUAGGUUUGCAGCGUUUGAAGGAUCUCCUAGACUCGUACUAUAGAGUGUCUGGCCAGAUGGUCAACAGACAUAAGAGUUCCUUCAUCAUCGACGAAUCCUACGAUUCCAACACCACCGCUCUUAUUCGUCAGACCCCUUGAUUUGUCGAUGAGGACUUCCCAUUCAGUGGUGAAGCCAGGAUUUUGUAACAUAGUAGGCUUAAUAUUUUGGUGGUUGGGGCAGCCCCCAAAUUUAUUUUAGGAUUUUUUUUCUUUUUGAGAAACUUGAAGAUAGGAAAAGAAAAUAGAAAAUAAAAACUUAUACCUUUUUUUGAAUAACUUUGAAUUUUGGGUUGACUAUAUAGUAAAAUUUGGGUGGACUAAAUAAAUAAAUAUAUAAGUAUAAUAAAAUGGAAUGUUUUUCAAUUGAAUGUAGGCUUGAGUCCAUCCUCGUCGAAGGGUGCAGUUACCCCAAAUUCCAAGUCACAAAUCCUAACCUCUUUAUCCUACUUUUUAGAGUUAUUUACUAUUUUUCUUCGUCUUUUGCAAUUAAAAAGACUUAAUUUUAUGUUUUUGUAUAACUAUAUUAUAAAUUAUAUUGAAGCACAUUAUAAAGACAAUAAGUUAUAUAUAUAUAUAUAUAUAUAGUAGUAAAAAAAUUUAAAAUUUGAGGGGGGCAUGUCCACACCUGGCCCUACACUCGCUUCCCUACUGUUCUCAUAACCUAUUUAGGAGUUUUUUUGUACCGCGGUCAUCAGAGUGGUAUGUUUUUUCAGGCCCUCCUUCAGAAGCUGAGGGAUCGUUUGUCGGGAUGGGACAAGCGUUACAUGGAAUUGCUAAGGCGGCCGGCCUUGAUCAAGAGCACGUUGUCUUCUUUGACUCUGUAUUUGAUCCAGAUCAUACAACCUCUAAAGUAUAAUAUUGUCGUACCAUAAUAAUAUUAUUGUGAAUCACAACAAUAUUAUUGAGGUUGAUAGUAUUAUGACUGUCAACUACAGUAAUAUCACAAUAGUACACAAUAAUAUUAUUAUAUUCACCGGUCAACAAAUCAAACAAAAUAAAAAAACCAGAAAAAUGAAAUAAUAAUAUUAAUGUAGUUGAUAGUAAUGUUAUUGUGUUUACAGUAAUUUUACCGUCAACCACAUUAAUAUUACAAUAAUACACAAUAAUAUAUUACGUUGACCGGUCAAAAAAUCAAACGAAAUAAAAAAGUCAAAAUAAAUAAUAUUGAUGUGGUUGACAAUAAUAUUAUUGUAUUUACAGUAAUUUUACUAUCAACCACAAUAACAUUAUAUGACAGUAAUAUUAUUGUUUUUACAGUGAUAUAACUGUCAAAAGUCAGUCGGAAAAAAGAAAAACGAAAAGUCAAUGUAGAAACCGGCGACAUAAAAGAAAAUCAGAUUUUUCUUUUUUUGAAAAAUAAAAGUUAAAAUUGGAUUCUUUAUGGUUUUUUUUUUCUGCUGUCGCCACCUCGGACCGGGCGGUCAAUGGUGGUCUUCGACGAUGUUGACUUUUUUUUUUUCCUGGACAUUUUUUAAACCCCAGUAAAAAAGUAGUAAUAUUACUGUAGUUGCCAUUAAUAUUAACUAUAUUAUUGUUUAACACAAUUAUAUUAACUUUAUCUCAAAUGUGGAUCAUGAAAUCUUAAGAUGAGUGUAUAUAUUAAUUUUAAAGACAUGAUCCUAAAAUUUGGUGUUUUGUGGCGUUUUAAGAUUCAUUAACGAUCACCUGACAAGAUCCUUAAAUUUGAACACAUUAGUGCACUUAUUUCAUCUAUGUUUUCUUCAUUUUGAAUUCUUAGCAUGGUUUAAAUUUUAGGAGCAAUUUGCUAUAGGUCCUUCUAUAAGAGAUUUUAUAUGUAUAAAUCUAACUAUUAAUUCCCUAUUUUUAUUAUAGGGGAAAUUUGCUAGACACCCCUUAUUUUGGACUUAUAUGGCUAGAGAUCCUAGUUGUUAGAUGAAUAUAGGCAUAGGUCAUUGACCCAAUAAAUUCAUAUAAAUAAAUUAAAAUAAUUAAUAUAUAGACCAUAACACCCUCAAUUAAUAAGAAAACAAAUCUUAUAUAUCCUCUCUCUUCAAUCUCCCGUUGCUUUCCCCCUAUAUAAUUCCUCAUCUCUCUCUCCUUCUGCAUCUGAAUUCUCACGCCUCUCUCUCUCGCUCUCUCGUGCUUCUCUCUUUUUCUUUUUUCUUUUUCGUUUUCUUUUUUUAAUGAAGAAAUAUUAUAGAGAUGAAAAAACAAGGAUCUUUUUAGAUUAUGAGAGGAUUUCUUUGUGAAAGAAUUAAAAAGGACGACAAACAUCCCCUUCCAUAAAAAAUCAGAAAUCCAAAAUCCUAGCCAAAUUCGCAUUGUGUUUUCCGUAGGUAGAACCUCCCAUCGUUUGUUGUUAGCAAUUUCCGUUUGCAGUUGGUUUAAUUUCAUUUGUUGUUUGAAGAAUUCCAUUUGAUGUUGAGAUUCGAUGCCUCUGGUUUACAAUUUGCAAGGUAUGUCUUAAGUUACAUUUUACAAACAUUUUGUUUAAUAUUUUUGUUGUAAGCAACUUGUUCUAUAAACAAUUUUUUGGUUGAUGUAUUUAAUGAUGCUGAUUUUUUUUCUAAUUUUUUUUCAGUUUGCUAUUUGCAUUUGGUGAAGUUAUAGGUAGUUUAUUGCUUGCAAUUCAAUAAUGCAAGUUUUGCUCAAUGUUUUUCUUCAAUUUGCUGUUUGCAUUUGGCGAAGUCAUAAGUAAUUUUUUGUUUGUAAUUUAGUAAUACAAAUUAUGAAUUUUGUUUUUUCAAUUUGAUGUUUGCAUUUGGCGAAAUCAUAGGUAUUUUGUUGUUUGCAAUUCAAUAAUAUAAAAUCUAAUUUUCAGUUUGCUAUUUGCAGUUCGCGGAGUUAUAGACGUCGCAGUUCCCGGAUCAUAGGCAGUGGUGGGGCUGCGGUGACGUUUUUAGAGUAUGAGUUUGUAAAAUAAAUUGUAUAUUUUUUGUUAUGAAUUAAUUUAUUUGUUUUAGUUAAUAUUUGGAAGAAAGAUGUUUGGGAAUUUGUUAUGAUAGAGAGAUUUUUAGGGAUUUAAUUUGAUUUAAUUAAGGGUAUUUUUGCCAUAAUAAAUAUUAUUAAUUAAUUAAAAAUUAAAUUUUGACUUGGAUUUACACACAUAAAUUAUAAUAUAGAGGGACCUAUAGCAAAUUGCCCCUUUAUUAUAUUUAUUAUUUUUAUAGUGUCUAAAAUACCGCUAAUACAAUAUGAAAAAAUAAAAAUCUCCAAAUAAUAGUCAAUCUUAUAGAGGUUUUAAUCCCAUUUUUUUCUCCCGAGAUAACAUCGUUGCAAAUCUUCAAAUCCCAAAAUACGAUUUUAUAUUUCUUUCAUCUUCUCCAACGCAAAAGCAGAAAACAACAAAAAAAUGUGUUAGUUUGUUGUUAGUUUAUCGUUCCUUUGAUGUUUUGUCGUUUUCUAAUUGAAAUAAAAAACCCUAGAUUUGUUUGUUUGUUGUUCAUCAUCCUCGUAACGCAAAAUCGAAGAACUUCAAUAUCAAACAACAUGGUGCGGAAACGUAAAAGUCCGGGUAAUUAAUUCCUUUUUAUUUCUCCCAUUUUUUUAGAUGUUUUGAUGAUGAUUUAAUGACCCAUUGUUGGUAUUUUUAUCUCAGGGGAAAAAAAUGUUGAUAUUGGAGCAUCGAUCUGAGGUAAUUAUUCACACAUUUUAAAGGUUUAGAUUUAUAUUUUGUAUGAUUGUUUACCAUAUUUCUUACAUUCUUGUUUGCAUUUUUUUUCAGUCAGUUGUUGAUGUUAAUUUGUUGUCGUUUGUGUUGUUAUUUGAAAUUUGCAUUUUACUGUGCAUUAUUUAACCAUCAUGUUUUUGUUUUUUUGUUGUUCUUGUGGUAUGCAUUUUGUUGUUCUUAUUUUCUUCAUUUUGUGGAUGUUCAUGUGAUCUACUAUUUAUUUGCAAUUUGUUACUUGUUUGCAAUCGAACCAUCAUUUUCUUGUUUGCGGUUGCUUAUUACACUUUGAAUUUCUUAUUUGUAAUUUUCUAUUUAAAAUUUUCUUGUUUGCAGUUAUUUGUAUACACUUUGAAUUCCUUGUUUGUAAUUGCAGUUAUUGUUUUUAAUUUGCUAUUUUUUGUUCAUUUUUGCAAUUUAUUAUUUGCAAUUGAAAGUCUUGUUUAGUUUUAUUUUUUGUGUGCUAACACAGGUACGCCAAAGAAGAAAAAGAAGCAAGGCAUUAAAUGACUCUUCGAUUCUUCCAAAGGAGAAAAAACAAGAACAAAUUAGAUUGCAAACAAAGUCCUCACGGAACAAGCUAUUACAGAAGAUCCAUGAAUCCCACAAUAUGCACUCAAAACUCGUUUCACUUGUUUACAUCUUCAACCGACAUAAAUUCAAAGAACACCACAUUAAAUGUGUCAGAAAAGUUGUAUCUUGAAGUACUUUGUACUUAACGUACUAAUUUGCUUCUAAACAAAAAUUAGUUUUUUGGUGUUUGUUAUAACAUUUUUUUAUUUUUUACUUUGUGUUUUGAAACUAUUUCAUAUUGCUCGAGUAAAAAAUGCGCUAGGGUCAGUGUUGUUUAUUGUUUGUGUCUACUAUGUUUGUUGUUUAUUAUUUGUGUUUGUCGUUUACUGUUUAUUAUUUGCAUUGUUAUUUAUUGUUUAUGUUAUUUUAAGUUAUAAAUUGUAAUUUGCAGUUUUCUAUUAUAUAUUGCAAAUUUAUUUUGAUUGUUAAUUUUGUAUUUUUUUUCUUGGUUUGCUAAUGUAAAAACAGUUAGAAAAUGCAAAUAUAAAAAAAAUGCAAUACCGUCGAAAAAUACGAAAUAACAAUUAAUAUUCAAAAAUAUAUGAUUUCAAACAAUUAAUAUUAAAAAAUAUAUGGUUUCAAGAAAGUUAAUUAGUGAAGAUUGCUAUAGAUAUUUAUGGAAAUAAAAUAAAAAAAUAUUUUUUACAAGAAUUGAAAACUAAAUUUCACAAUAACUAAUGGCUCUUUUAAGAGAGAUAAAAAUGUAUGAGAGAGAGAGAGAGAGAGAGAGAGAGAGAGAGAGAGAGAGAGAGAGAGAGAGAGAGAGAGAGAGAGAGAGAGAGAGAGAGAGAGAGAGAGAGACGUGGGGUGUGGGGGAGAGUGGAUAUUGGGGAGAGAGAUAUAUAUUACGUAUGUGUUAGAAAGAGAGAGAUUUGUGGGAUUGUUCCCUCAAUUUCCAAAAUAACUAUUUAUAUAUAAAUAAUAAUUGAAGGUUAUUUAUGUCUAUACACUAAUAAUUUUAUUUUAUUUUAUUUGUCAAUGAACCUACACCUAUAUAUAUUCAUCUAAUAGAAUAGAUAUCUACCUAUAUAAGUCCAAAAUUAGGGGUGUCUAGCCAAUUUCCUCUAAAUUUUAAUGUCUCAUGCUAACUAGAUCUUGAUUUGAGAAAUUUCGAUCAGUCAAGUUAACUAAUCCAACCUAGAAGAAUUGAGUGGAUGGAAGAUUAUAUUAUCAAUUAAUGCCUCGUUUGGUUGCCAAGAUAAGAUAAUUAUCCUAUAAAAUAAAAGGCUUAUAAUUAUUAUUAUUUAUUUUAUAAGAUGUUUGUUAUCAAAUUUUGAAUUUUUUAUCUCUCCAUUAUUUAACAGUAUUUGAUAUUUGGUUUCCUUAACAUUAACCCAAUUACAUGAAAAUGACCGAAUUACCCUUUCUUAUUGUACAUAAUUUUUUCUGCUUCUUUUUAAUAUUUAUAUUUUGUUUUUUUUUUGUCAUUAACGUAUAUAAUCAUAGCACAAUAAUUUUAUUUGACCUCUCAAGAUCCAAUUAGUUAUCUCUCAAUUAGUCCAGAUAAGUCAUGACAAAACUAUUUUGGCGGGUCGACCCGAAAAAUAAUACGACUAACCAAACAUCAAACUAAACCUUACUAUUUAGUUAAUCUUGGCUAAUCUUGCCAACCAAACGGGGCCGCCCUAAGUUAAUUUCUAGUUCCUUAAGCCCUAGAAUUUCAUUGAGCUGGAAACUAAUUUCGAAUCCAGAUGUUGAAAAUGGGUUUAAUUAAAAAUAAAAUGACCUAUUGGAUCAUUGUAAUUAUAUUGAUCAUAUAACAACUAUAUUUGCUUCUUUACAUAGCUUGCUAAGCUAAUGUGAUUUUUCUCCAGAUGAGACUACUUGAUUCAUUCAUAUUGUCUAUCAAAUGGAAUUUGACCUCGAGCUUUGCUCUCCAUAUCAAUUAGAGCAUCUCCAAGGUUAAGACCUACAAAGGAGAUGUUAUAUGCCUAUAUCUAUAAUACUUAAUGAAUAGUUGUUGAUUUAUAUGCCUAUAGAAAUCAAUUAACCUAAGUUGUAACAGUUAAGUUGUGGAAACAGUAUUCAGUUACAACUGUAAAUCUUGUGUUGUCACAGUUAUAUUCUACUUAAAGUAAAUAAACAGAACACAAGAAUUAAUGUGGUUCAGACACAAUUGUGCCCUACAUCCACGUGGACCUGCAAACACGAUUUCACUAGUUCAGAUUUACAGUGUACAUUAAUAGGACUUAUUAAAAACACUAAAGACUCCCUCUUUAUGUAAUAUGCCGUUCUUGUACACAACUCGAACUCCGUGUUUCUUCCAACAGCAGCUCCACACCGCGUGCCUAGAACUCCUUUCUGGCCUGAACUCCCUUCAGUGACGCGGUUGAUCUCCCAAGAGAUCUAUACAGCCAAUCUGUAUAUGUUGACACAUCCAACGAUGGCACAGUUCUGUUCAGCAGAACGUUUCAGCGAUUCUUCAAAGCAACGGAGUGAUUUUUCUCCCAACAAAAGUGUCACGGUCUUUGUGAGGUGAGGAGCCUUAUAUAGGCGUGAGAUUGGCCUCAAAAGACCUGUCUUCCAAAGGAACCGAAUAACUAGGAAACAGAAUCCUAGUCAAUAUCUAGUUCUAAUCUAGAUAACUAUAAAAGAUUCCUAAUAAGAAUAAAGUACAAGGAAAUAAAUCUAAGUCCUAAAGUAUUACAAAGGUAGGACUCUAAAUUUCCAAAAUAAACAUGGGAACAAAUCUUUAGCCAAUCUUUACUUCCCAAGUGAGGCGGAUUUCUUCCUUCGUGGAAAUCUGGCGCCAACAAUCUCCCCAUUUGGCAUAGAUUUGGUCAGAACCCAUGUUUAACAAGAACUCCCCCUGCAGAUAAGACGGAAAGAGAAAAGACUCCCCCUGCAUCACAGACUGUUAGCACUCCCCCUGCAUCACAGACUGUUAGCACAUAACAUCACAUACUGUUAGCACAAUAGCAGUGCUACUUAAGUAUUUCCUGCAGUGAGACAAAUAAGAGAGAUAUAGAAUCACUCCAAAAUUAACUCAAAAAUAGUUAUCAAUGCAGAUAAAGAGAUAACACAUAGAGUCAAAGAUGAAAAAAAAGAAAACAAUACUAGCUAUUACACACCAAAAGUAAUAGCAGAUAGUUUUUAGGAUAAAAAAAAGAGCUUAUUGCAAAUACCACCCCUGUGUAAUCUCUAAUUGUCAAAAACCCCCCUGUAAUAAAAAAACUCACUAACUCCCCCCUGUGUUAACGUUUUCGAAGCACACCGCACCCUUUUUUAUUUUAGGCUUUGACUAACUGUGAAUAGACAAAGAUACCCUUAGGGUUUUUUUACCAAUUAGUAAAGUAUAAUACCUAAAUUUUAGAAUCACUUUAAUUUUAUAAAUAUUAUGUAUUUAUUUUUAAUUCUUAAAAAAUAAAAUUAAAAUUAAAAUUAAACAAAAAAUUAAAUAUAUAUUGUAAUAUUAAAAGUUCUUAUAUGCUUUUUUUAAUAGUAUUUUUAUAUUCUUUGUAAUUGUUUGUUACAUUUUAUAUUAAAUAACAAUAAUUAUUAAAAAAGAAAAACAAAAAAGAUAAAAGAUAAAAGAUAAAAGAAAAAAAUAAAAUAUUUAAACAAAUAUCUUUAUUAAAUACAGUAAAUAUAUGUUGAUAAUUAAAAAAAUACAAAAUAAAACAUAUCUUAAAUAUAAUAAUAAUUAUAUAAAAUAAAAUAAAAAGUCUUCAUUUUCUUCCCCUGCCACCAUCCUCGUUUUCCUCCAACCCCCUUUUUUUAUUCCGGGUUUAAAAACCCCCCCCCCCCCCCCCCCCCCUCAUUCUUCCCAUCCAACUCACAACUCAAUUCAACCCAACACCAUUACAUCUUCAGAUUUUCUUCCGCUUGAGGCAUGCUGCGGCGGAGGUGUGCGGCUCGUGGUCGGUGAGAUCGAACGGAGAAAAUGGAGGCCCAGAAAAUGAGUUUUCUUCAUCUUCGUGCGGCGGCGGCGGCAGUGGCGGUCAUCCUUGGAAGCAGAGGUUUCUUCGAAGUUUUCGGGCCACGAUUGAUCAAAAUCCGCAGAGAAUUGAAGAUGGCCAUGUCUGACAUGAGAGGCUUCUGGAGGAAGAUGAAGAAGGAUGAAGAACGAAGACGGGAAAGAGAAAAAAAAAAGAAAAAAAAGAAAAGAAAAGAGAGAGAGAAGGGGAACGUGGGGGCAUUUCUGAGAAUUCACAUUUGAAAAUGGAGCAAAAAUCGCACAAACAGGGCGUGACCGACACGAUUUGUUCUUAGGGGGCUAGAUGCUUUGACUUUGUUUACACAGGGAGGCAUGGGUGAGUUUUUUUUUCAUAGGGGGGUAUUUGCCAAUUCGAGAUUUCACAGGGGUGGUAUUUGCAAUUACCUCAUAAAAAAAACAUAAAGACGAAAAACAUAAAUCUCUGCUUUAGUAACUAAAGCCAGAGAACAAAUCAUCAUCAUCACGAGAGCUGGGCUGUGAAGGAGUGAGGAGGGAUGCCUGCUUUUUGCCUUUAUCUUUGGUCUUGGUGGAAGCCGCAGGAGUUGGAGUUGUUGCUACUCCCCCUUUCUGACCAGAAUGUGCCAAAGUCCUAAGCAGCUGAUCCUGAAUAGAGGCAAACCCUUGAGCUAGCUGAGCCUGGAUAGACUCUUGAAAACGAGUGAGCUCAUCCUUGGUGACCACAUCAACCGGCGGCGGAAUAGAGGCAGAGACAAUUGGAGCCUUCUUCGCACGAGGGACUGUCUGAACAACAGAAGGAUCGACAGGAGGCAGAUCAGCAAAAUGUUCAGAGAGGACCUUACCGUGGAUAGUGAUUGGACGGCCAGGAGGGUCCAACAGGGUGGCAUCACGAGUGGGCAGGCCUUGUUUGAUCAGAAGCUGAUAGAUCAGAGAAGGAAAUGGCAAAUGCUCACGCUCGGUUCGGGAAUUGGCUAACGCACCAAUCUGAUUGAAAAUCAGUUCACCAAUAUUGAUCUUGAGGUCGUGAGUGAUGCACCAUAAGAACUCAGCUUGGGUUGGAUUGAGAGUAGCAUUGUGAGUAGUGGGAAACCAAUUGGAAAUGCCUAUCUUAAACAGGACAGAAUAAAGCUGAGUCAGCUUAGAAACAUGAAAAGAGGAUUUCAGACCGGGCCAUUUCUUUAACACUUUGCCAGUGAGAACAGAGGCCAUAGAAUCUUUUGAAACAGAGGGUUUGUGAGACACCUCGUUUGGACAUUUAUAAAACUCAUUGAUCAAGGCAGGAGUCACAGAAUAGAAGGAACCCCUCACAUAUACUUUCCCAUACCCACGAGACCCCUCAACAGAAAAACGAUCAGACAAAUUCGCAUAAAACUCAACAAUGACAGACCUUUCGAAAGGUUGUGCACUCACAAUAGUGCCCAACAACCCUUGAGAUUUAAGAAGACGGAAAAUCCCAGACAAAGCUAACACAGCCCUAGACAAAACACGCUCAGGAGAGCACGCCCGCUUACUCAUACUAUCACAAUUUUCUUUAGCAAGAGCGGAAUAAAAAAGGUUUGAGAAGCAGUUACCAGCAGAGAGUUGAGACCCCACAGAUGAAUCAGAGGAUUCAGAACGCAGAGGGUCAUCCUCAGGAAUAGGUUCAGAAGAAGAGGAUUGUUGACCUUCAGACACGGAGGCAGGAGUGGAGACAGAUGGGCCUUCGUGUUUUCGAUUAGAGCGGCGGAGUUGAACUGGAAACGCAACAUUGCGGGGGGUAACCUCUGGAUCUGAAGGCAGAUCAUCUUGUGGGGUUGCAGAGAGGCUAUCACCGUCAAGAGCAGCCACACCGGUGUCAACAGGGUCAGGCACAUCACUUGUCUUGAGACUUGGUGAUGGCGAAGCCACAGGAGUAGAGAUGGGGUCCAGAUCUGUGGUGACGGGAACAGGAGAGACUUCCACAACAGUAGAGCGAACUUUCUUUGCGGAUUUUCUGGACUUCUUCUCAGCAGGUGAGGCAGAUGGAGUGUGGCGUCGUUUCUUGGAGCCCUCAGUAGAUCGAUUCUUGCCCAUGGUGAAUAGGGAACACAGAGAAAAACAAGACAAUAGAAAAGAAACGGCGGAAGAGAAGAAGAAAAAGAACAAAGUGUGAGAAGCAAACCCUAAAAGAGGCGGAUAUUUAAAGCACAGGGACCGAGAAAAUAGGCAGAAAAAGAGAGGACUCUUCAGAUACUGGAUAUUUUCAAAUCAGAAAAAGAUCCCACAAAAUCCGCCACUAAUAACAAGCAAGAUAUUCUCCACACGAAACCUCAAAAAAUAAAGAAGGCAGAUGACAUGGCUAUAGCCACGUGGCCAGAGAUAACUAAUAGCCCAGGAAUUCACAAAGCCCAAAAAAUUUAAAAACAAAUUUUAAAAGGAAAAAAAACUUUUAAGGAAAAGAAAAUCAAGAAGAUCACAAGACUAAAAGUAGAGGGCUUGGUUUUCAUGAAUUAAUUAGAUAAUCUUAAAGAGAAUCACAAUAGAAGGCCACCAAGCAAGCUCUUGGAUGCACGAUAUAACUAUAACCCCAUAACCAUACUCAAGAAAUCAUAAUUUAGGUAAUUUUUAAGGGUUAUGAAUGCGUAUGCGAUUAGCACAACAAUUCGAUCGUGGACUUCAAGAAGAAUUUCCUAAUAUAUGCUUGAAUAUCAUCCCAACCCCUCCUUUUUUUUUUUUUUUUUUUUUUUUUUUGAAUUCAGACUAUUUUUCUCCUUUUUUUUUUUUUUUUUUUUUUUUUAAUUCGAACUAAUUUUUCUUCUCCUCCCUUUUUUUUUUGUUGAUAUGAUGUUCAAGCAAACAUUAGGAGGGCAACCUCCUUAAGAAUCCACAUAGCUUUUAAAUAGAAGUCAGAGAUGCAUAUGCGGUAGCAUAAUUCUCCCAAUAGAGGUAUGAUCUUUGAGAUGAAUGAGGUCAUAGUCAUUGAUCACUCCCGAUAGAGGGGGCAGCACACUUCUAUCAUGGUUAUCUGUGGAAACAAAAAUUAAUUCACAAAAACUAACACACAAACAAUUAGACAAAAUGAACCUCCAAUCAUUCCUAGUCCAAAAAAGUGAUGUCACAUUUGUAGGUGACACAUAUAAUGUCCGAUUAAAGAAUUCAAGUGCAAUCCGGACACAAACUUUAAUUGCACUUAUCAUAGAAAAUUCAGUUUUGCACAUGGCAAAUCCCAAGCGCUUUACGCAAGGAAUCAAACCUAAGGAAAUCGAGGGGCUUUGUAAAAAUAUCAGCUAAUUGAUUGUCUGUGGACACAUAAUCUAUAGUCACACGUUUCUGCUCAACUAAUUGCCUGAUGAAAUGGUGUCGAAGAUCUAUGUGUUUGGUUCUAGAAUGCUGGACAGGAUUUUUUGAGAUAUUUAUGGCACUUUCAUUAUCGCAGAAUAUAUGAAGGAGUUUUUCAUGAAAGCCAUAGUCAUUCAACAUAUGUUGCAUCCAAAGAAGUUGAGUGCAACAACUACCUGCAGCUAUGUACUCAGAUUCAGCUGUUGAUAAAGAGAUGCAGUUUUGUUUCUUACUGUACCAAGAUACUAGGUUGUUUCCCAUGUAGAAACAGCCUCCAGUAGUACUUUUUCUGUCAUCCACAUCUCCUGCCCAGUCAGCAUCACUGUAUCCUGUAAGACAAGUAUUAGUAUCUUUGGAGUACCAUAUCCCUAGUUCAAGAGUUCCACUCACGUAUCGUAUGAUGCGUUUGACUGCACUUAAGUGACUUUCUUUAGGAUUUGAUUGGUACCUAGCACAUACUCCUACACUGAAACAAAUGUCAGGUCUACUGGCAGUAAGAUAAAGUAAACUUCCAAUCAUACUCCUGUAUAAUGUGGGAUCCACGUCUGUGCCCUCACAGUCGCGUCCCAACUUUUCAGUAGGACUCAUCGGAGUUUUUAGAGGCUUUGCAUUAUCUAACCCAAAUUUACUUACCAGGUUCUUGGCAUACUUGCUUUGUGUGAUGAAAAUUCCAUCAUUCAUCUGCUUUACCUGCAAGCCAAGAAAGUAUGUUAGCUCUCCAACCAUACUCAUUUCAAAUUCGUUUGACAUUUGAGAGAUAAACUCAUCUUUCUUGUGGUCAGAAGUAGACCCAAAAACAAUAUCGUCCACAUAGAUUUGAGCCAAAAGGAUUUCGUUUUUAAAAUUUUUGACAAAUAGUGUUUUAUCUACCCCACCUCUUCUAUAUCCUUUUUCAACUAGAAAGGUCGUAAGUCGCUCAUACCAAGCCCGAGGGGCUUGUUUGAGACCGUAUAGGGCCUUUUUAAGUUUAUAGACAUGUUGAGGUUUAAGUGGAUCUUGAAAACCUUUUGGUUGUUCGACAUACACUUCUUCAUUUAAGAGACCAUUUAAAAACGUACUUUUUACAUCCAUUUGGAAGAGUUUAAACUUUAAAGCACAAGCAACUGAGAGUAAAAGACGUAUUGACUCAAGACGUGCUACCGGAGCGAAUGUUUCAUCAAAAUCUACUCCUUCAAUUUGGGUGUAUCCUUGAGCAACAAGACGAGCUUUUUUGCGAGUUAUAUUACCAAGUUCGUCCGUUUUGUUUUUGAACACCCAUUUUGUACCUAUAACGUUUACCUGGUCGGGUCGUGGAACAAGUUCCCACACUUCAUGUCGAGUGAACUGCUCAAGUUCCUCUUGCAUAGCUUGUACCCAAUACUCAUCAAGAAUUGCUUCUUUGAUGUUUUUUGGUUCUAUAGUAGAAGUAUAGCAAACAUACCUGACCAUUUCUUGGUAAUCAACUUUGGGCUUAUUUCGAGUUUUCAUACCUUCAUCAAAUUCUCCUAUCACCUGUUCAGAAGGAUGAUUUUUUACAACAUGUUUUGAUGGUCUUUUUCUUUCUUCUGUGCUUUCCUUCGCUGUUGUCACUCCUUCCGUGCUUUCCUUCACUGCCGUCACUUCCUCCGUGCUGACGAUUGGCGUUUGUACUGGUACAAUGGUUUUUUCAGGAUUAGCGUCUUCCUCAUCCAUUCCUGCAGAUAAAACUUCGUUAAAAGUUACAUUAAUGGAUUCCAUAACAGUCAUUGUACGUUCAUUAUAAACGCGAUAUGCCCUGCUGUUUAAAGAGUAACCAAGAAAGGUACCUUUGAACUUACCGAGUUGUUCUCUAUCGUUCAGGAUGUAACAUUCACACCCAAAGACAUGAAAGUAACUUAAGUUAGGUUUCUUACCUUUCCAUACUUCAUAUGGAGUUUUCUUGGUACCUGGUCUGAGAUGUACACGGUUUAUGGUGUAGCAGGCAGUGCUCAUGGCUUCAGCCCAGAACUUUGUGGCCACUCUUGCUGAGAUGAGCAUUACGCGAGUCAUUUCUUGGAGAGUUCUGUUCUUUCUUUCUACCACACCAUUCUGCUGUGGUGUCUUUGGUGCUGAGAAUUCGUGGGAGAUACCGUGUUUAUCACAAAAGUUUGUGAAUGAAGAGUUUUCAAACUCUCUCCCAUGAUCGCUUCGAAUUCUUCCAAUAUUGCUGAAUUUUUCAAUUCGCAAUUUUUUGCACAGAGUUUUGAACUCAUAAAUGGUAUCUGACUUUUCCCUAAUGAAGCGUACCCAAGUGAACCUUGAGAAAUCAACAACACAAACUAGAACAUACCUUUUUCCACCAAUGCUCUCGGUUUGCAUUGGUCCCAUUAAAUCCAUGUGAAUGAGUUCCAAGGUCCUGCUAGUCCCUGCAUGAUCUGUGUUCUUGUGAGAUGUCCGUACUUGUUUUCCCAGUGGACAGUCACCACAUGACUCAGGUGUGUCAGUCUUCAGUUGUGGUAUCCCUUUUACGCAACCUGUAUUAACAAGACGGAUUAGAUCAUGAAAAUUUAAAUGACCUAGUUUCCGAUGCCAGAGAUCAGUGAGAUCAGAAGAAGUGUGAUGACAUUGAUCUGAUUUGUCAAUCUGAUCAAUUUUGUAGCAAUUGUCUGAUGACCUGUAUCCAGUUAGAACACAAUUUUUUCUUUCAUCAAAUACUUCACACUUACGCUUUGUGAACAAUACAGAGUCGUAUAGAUCACACAACUGACUUACACUCAGAAGAUUUGAUUUCAAACCUUACACAUACAGAACAUUGUUCAAGUUUGGCAACCCUCCAACAUUUAAGUCUCCUUUUCCCUUUACAUAAGCCUUAUUUCCAUCUCCAAAAGUAACCUGUCCACUAGACAUGUUAUGCAGAUUUGAUAAGAAAUUCUUUUCACCUGUCACGUGUUUGGAACAUCCACUGUCAAAAUACCAAGAGUUAGUAGCACAUGCAUUUAAAGAUAAAAUAGCUGACCAGCAGUUAGUACUAUCAUUUGUCAUCCUUUGUUUAUGAGAGUUGUUACUUUGAGAGUAAGUAACCCACGCAGCGGAUUUGGAUGUUUGAUAUGCUAACUGUUUAUUUAUCAAUUUCCAUCGUUUAAAGCAUUUAGGCCUGACAUGCCCUAUUUUGUGACAGAAGUGACAGAUAGGAAUAAACUUAGUAGGAUAGGUUUGGUUGUUCACACAAGAAGAUGUGGAAUUGACAAAUCUGAUUUCCUGGUUUGAACCAGUAUUAGCAUUAGAUUGUCCAUCAGUAUAUCCUAACCCAAUUCUUUUGGAAUUAGAAGGAUGAGCAUUUAUGAUUUCAUCUAAUCUAUUUGAGGGAAGAAAUGCAGUGCGAUUUAACUUACUGACAGAAGCAUCAAACAUUGUGCGAACAGGCGGUGAAACAUCUUGGUGAUCAUUAGCAUGCACUUUUGGAAAAAGAUUUUUCCUCAUUCUUUUGCUCUUUCACCAUCAUAGUCCUGCCAAUAUUUCAGCAAAUCUUUGAGAUUGUCGAUGUCUCUUUGUGCAAAGUCCUGUUCCACUUCAAAGACUUCAAUCUCCAUCUCAAGUUCAUCAAUCCUGUCAUUCAGUUUUGUGAUCACUCAUUUGUUUUCUUCCUCUUGUUCUUUGAUUCUUUCUUUCAGGAGUUUAUUUCCAUUACUAACUUCAUGACAUUGCUUCAGGAGAUCAUCCAAUUGUUUUUGAAAUUGUUGGAUGGACUCUUCACCUUCAUCUUCUGAUUCGUCACUCCCUGUGGACAGAACAGACAUAUUUAGAUUUACGUAAUUUUCAUUUUCCUGUGUGACAUACCUGAGAUGUGGCGGUUCUGUGCACGUGAUGUCCUCAAGUGUGGCUUCUGUGAUUCUGCAAGUUCCACAGAAAUCAUUGUUUGUAUCAUCGUCACUAGCUUCACUUUCAUCAUCAGACUCUGAGGUGUCAUCUCUCCAAGUUGUGGCAAGUGAUUUUCCUUGUUUUUUUUGAGUGUUAGCACAUUCUGCUUGGAUAUGACCAUAACCAUGACAUUCUCUACAUCGAAUUCCCUUCUUGACUUCUGGCUUAUCUAUAGAGGUCCUGGGUUUUCUCUCAGAGUUUGUAGGAUGUCCAUUUCUCUUGAUGAAUUUCCCGAAAUUUUUUGCUAUUAGGGACAUGGAUUUUGUGAGCUUGACUUCAAGUGCUGACAUAGGAGCAGUAGGCACAGAUGUUGUGGUGUCUGAUACAGUUUGCAGAGCGAUUUUCCUUUCCUUGUCCAUUCUGCUGAUGUUCAACUUGUUUUCAAAAGUUUGUAGAUUUCCAAUCAGAUCCUCAAGUCGCAAUGAGUCCACAUCACUUGCUUCCUCUAUUGCAGUGAUCUUGUACGCGAAUCUGUCUGGCAUGGAUCUGAGCACUUUUCGUACAAGUUUAACUUCAGGGUAAGUUUCACCGAGCCCAUGAGCUUCGUUUGAUAUGUCACAUAAUUUGGAGUUGAAUUCGCUCACGGUCUCAUUUUCUUCCAUACGAAGAUCUUCAAACCGGGUGGCAAGCAUUUGAAGUUUGGAUAGUCUGACUGAAGCAGUUCCCUCGUACGCAGUUUGGAGUUUCUCCCAUGCUUCUUUAGCACACUCACACGCAGAGAUUAUCUUGAAUUGAUUGAUAUCAAUUCCAUUGAAUAUAGCAUUCAAGGCCUUGGAAUUCAUGUUUGCUGCAAUUUGUUCGGCUUUGCUCCAGUCUUUCUCAUGCUUCUCAGUUUCAAUCCCUUUCUCAUCUAUGGCAACGGGUCGCUUCCAUCCAGUUAACACUGUCCGCCAUGCAUCUUCAUCCAUUGAUUUUAUGAACAUCUUCAUCUUAGUCUUCCAAUAGGAGUAGUUGGUUCCCGUAAGUAGUGGUGGGCGAGUCGUGGAACCUCCUUCCAUAUGAGAACUCAUAGUACCUACGAAUAAUAAAUGGCAAAUAAAUCAAAUUCCCAAAAUCACACACUAUGUAUAUCUAGUGAGAGGCUCUUGAUGCCAAUUGUUGAUUUAUAUGCCUAUAGAAAUCAAUUAACCUAAGUUGUAACAGUUAAGUUGUGGAAACAGUAUUCAGUUACAACUGUAAAUCUUGUGUUGUCACAGUUAUAUUCUACUUAAAGUAAAUAAACAGAACACAAGAAUUAAUGUGGUUCAGACACAAUUGUGCCCUACAUCCACGUGGACCUGCAAACACGAUUUCACUAGUUCAGAUUUACAGUGUACAUUAAUAGGACUUGUAGAUUUAUAUGCCUAUAAAAAUCAAUUAACCUAAGUUGUAACAGUUAAGUUGUGGAAACAGUAUUCAGUUACAACUAUAAUUCUUGUGUUAACACAGUUAUAAAUCUACUAAAAGCAGAAUAAAUGAACACAAGAAAUUAAUGUGGUUCAGACACAAAUGUGCCCUACAUCCACGUGGACCUGCAAACACGAUUUCACUAGUUCAGAUUUACAGUGUACAUUAAUAGGACUUAUUAAAAACACUAAAGACUCCCUCUUUAUGUAAUAUGCCGUUCUUGUACACAACUCGAACUCCGUGUUUCUUCCAACAGCAGCUCCACACCGCGUGCCUCGAACUCCCUUCAGGCCUGAACUCCCUUCAGAAACGCGGUUGAUCUCCCUUGAGAUCUAUACAACAGAUCUGUAUAUAUUGGCACACACAGCGAUGGCACAGUGCAACGAUGGCACAGUCCUGCUCCGCAGAACGCCUUGGCAAAACUUCGAUGCUAUGAAGUGGUUUUUCUCCCAAAUAAUGCCCGCGGUUCUUGUAUGUCUUGGAGGCUUAUAUAGCCACGAAAAUAAGCCCUAAGACCUAACUUGGGCCCUAAGAAAUCAAUUUAACUAGGUAAUAGAAUCCUAGUUGAUUUCUACUUCUAUUCUAGAUAAGUACAAAAGAUACCUAACUAGAAUAAAAUACAUGGAAAUAAAUCUAAGUCCUAAUAGAAGUAUAUAAGAAUAGGACUCUAAUAAAUUCCAAAAUAAAUAUGGAAAACAAAUCUUUGCCAAUAUUUUAAUUCCAAAACUUGGCGGAUUUCCUCGAUCUUCAAUAACCGGAAAUAUGGCGCCAACAAUCUCCCCCUUUGGCAUAGAUUGGUCAGAAUCCAUAUUUAACAAGAACUCCCCCUGCAUAUGAGAUUUUCUCUCUUUGCAGGAAUGAUUAACUCCCCCUGCAUCACAUACUGUUAGUACAACAGAAGUUGCAACACAUAGAUGUUGUAACAGAGAAAUUUCCUGCAACACAAAGUUAUCCAAAACAAGCCCAAGGCACAAAAUAAAGAUAACCAAGGUGAUAUCCAAAAGGCAGUAAGGUAAUCAUAACUAUAACAGUCCUAAAAAAGACAUAAUUUUAAGCACUUCAAAAAGGACAACAAAAAAGUUUUUCAAGAAAACUUCCCUAUAAUCAUAGUCGGAGAGCUGAUCAUUAUCAUGAGAAUUGCUGGACGCUUUGCCUUGCGGUUGUGGACUGCUGCUUCAUCAUUGAAGUUUUUGCUGGGGCAUGCGGAGUUGCAUCUGGAGUUGUUGCUACUCCCCCUUUCUGACCAGACUGUGCCAAAGUCUUAAGAAGCUGGUCCAUGGAUAGUGAUUGGACGUCCAGGAGGAUCCAACAGAGUCGCAUCACGAGUGGGCAGGCCUUGUUUGAUCAGAAACUGAUAGAUCAGAGAAGGAAACGGCAGAUGCUCACGCUCGGUUUGGGAAUUGGCUAACGCACCAAUCUGAUUGAAAAUCAGUUUACCAAUAUUGAUCUUGAGGUCGUGAGUGAUGCACCAUAAGAACUCAGCUUGGGUGGGAUUGAGAAUAGCAUUGUGAGUAGUGGGAAACCAAUUGGAAAUGCCUAUCUUAAACAGGACCGAAUAAAGCUGAGUCAGCUUAGAAACAUGAAAAGAGAAUUUCGGACCGGGCCAUUUCUUUAACACUUUGCCAGUGAGAACAAAGGCCAUAGUAUCUUUUGAAACAGAGGGUUUGCAAGACACCUCGUUUGGACAUUUAUAAAACUCAUUAAUCAAGGCAGGAGUCACAGAAUAGAAGGAACCCCUCACAUACACUUUCCCAUACCCACGAGACCCCUCAACAGAAAAACGAUCAGAAAGAUUGGCAUAAAACUCAACAAUGACAGACCUUGCGAAAGGUUGUGCACUCACAAUAGUGCCCAACAACCCUUGAGAUUUAAGAAGGCGGAAAAUCCCAGACAAAGCUAACACAACCCUAGACAAAACACGCUCAGAAGAGCACGCCCGCUUACUCAUACUAUCCCAAUUUUCUUUAGCAAGAGCGGAAUAAAAAAUGUUUGAGAAACAGUUACCAGCAGAGAGUUGAGAGCCCACAGAUGAAUCAGAGGAUUCAGAACGCAAAGGGUCAUCCUCAGAAAUAGGCUCAGAAGAAGAGGAUUGUUGACCUUUAGACACGGAGGCAGGAGUGGAGACAGAUGGGCCUUCGUGUUUUCGAUUAGAGCGGUGGAGUUGAAAAGGAAACUCAACAUUGCGGGGGGCAACCUCUGGAUCUGAGGGCAGAUCAUCUUGUGGGGUUGCAGAGAGGCUAUCACCGUCAAGAUCAGCCAUGUCGGUGUCGACAGGGUCAGGCACAUCACUUGUCUUGAGACUUGGUGAAGGUGAAGCCACCAGAGUAGAGACGGGGUCCAGAUCUGUGGUGACGGGAACAGGAGAGACUUCCACAGCAGUAGGGCGAACUUUCUUUGAGGAUUUUCUGGACUUCUUCUCAGCAGGCGAGGCAGAUGGAGUGUGGCGUCGUUCAGGCAUAGAAGCUGAAGUUCUCACUAAGAAAUGUUGUGACAAUGAGUGAUAGGUCAACGAGGGAAAAGACAGACACUCCAACUUUUUGUGCGAGAGUUAGCAAGAGCUCCAUCUUGAGCAUAGAUGUACUCCCCAAUGUUGAUAAAAACAGCAUGAGUGACGCUUCAGGGAAACUCAGUAUACAGUGAUCACAGCGGCUUUGGUGUACUUGACACAAAGGACUAAACAGUGAUUUGAUUCUUACACCGGUAAAAAUCUUUAUUCAAUUCAGGAGCCACAUUGAAAAAUUUCCCUUUCCAAGUAACCGCGAGUCCCAUCAACGGAGAAUCAACAGAGAGUUAUGACUCUGGUGAAGAUUCUGAUGACUCAGAUCUAGUUGGAUGUACGGCAGUAAAUGCAGCAUAAGUCUGCUCUGAAAGAGAUUGGUGGCCACUCGAAGCGUAUGACUCAUCCUCAAGACCUUAAUUGCUCUCAAACUUCCUUUGAGGCCGGUAAAGCUGCACAUGGGCACUGAGCGUAGUUUCUUCAAUUGCGACAUGGUCUUCACCACCAACAUCUUCUGCCUUAGACAUGGAAGGAUCACUUAUUGUCCAGCGGAUCAGAGACAGCACCUUAUUCGGAGCUUUGGGGCUGGUGACUGCACAUGUGUGAGUAUGGGCUCCGGAAUUAUGGCCAUGAGAGAAAUGGGAACUACAGAGACACUGUUGUCGUCACAAACUUUGACGUUUUUCCAGACUUCUUGUCGGACGGUGAUGCACAGUUGUUUGUGCUUCCUCGUUUCAGACCCCUCGACCGAUUUGUCUCUUUCCAUAAUAAAUCUGUGGAGCACAAAAAAAGAGAAUAGACGAGUAGCUUUCGAAAAGCAUAGAGAGAUAUUGGAGAGAGAGGUCGAGUAUAAGAAAUAUUGAGAAAUCUUAGAAGCCCUAAAGAUAGGAUGAUAACAGAUCCCACAAACAUCAUGAUAAAACUGAAGUAUAUUCCCACACGCUUCUUCAGAGAUUCAAACAGAUCACGUAUCAAGACAUCCAUGUGUCAACAGUCAGCCAGAGGCCACAAUAAACUCAGAAACCCUAGAAGGGGCAGAUAUUUAAAGCACAAGGACCGAGAAAAGAGGCAGAAAAAGAGAGGACUCUUCAAAUACCAGAUAUUUUUCAAAUCAGAAGAAGAUCCCACAAAAUCCGUGACCAAUAACAAACAAGAUAUUCUUCACACGAACAUCAAAAAAUAGAGAAGGCAGAUGACAUGGCCAUAGCCACGUGGCCAGAGACAACUAGUAGCCAAAAAAUUCACAAAGCCCAUGUAUAAAAAAUUCAAGAAAGUUUUUAAAACAACAAAAAGAAAAACAUAACAUCUUUUAAGGAAAAGAAAAUCAAGAAGAUCACAAGAUUAAAAGUUGAGGGCUUGGUUUUCAUGAAUUAAUUUGAUAAUCUUAAAGAAAAUCACAAUAGAAGGCCACCAAGCAAACUCUUGGAUGCACGAUAUACCUAUAACCCCAUGACCAUACUCAAGAAACCAUAAUUUAGGUAAUUUUAUUAGGGUUAUGAAUGCAUAUGCGAUUAGCACAGCAAUUCGAUCGUGGACUUCAAGGAGAAUUUCCUAAUAUAUGCUUGAAUAUCAUCCCAAAUUUUUCUUCUUCCUCUUUUUUUUCUUUUUUUUCUUUUUUUUUUUUUUUUUUUUUUUUUUUUUUGAAUUCGGACUAUUUUUUCUUCUCCUUUUUUUUUUAUUUAUUUAUUUAUUUAAUUUUUUUUUUAAAUGGACUAUUUUUCUACUCCUCCCCUUUUUUGUUGAUAUGAUGUUCAAGCAAACAUUAGGAGGGCAACCUCCUCAAGAAUCCACAUAGCUUUUAAAUAGAAGUCAGGGAUGCAUAUGCGGUAGCAUAAUUCUCCCAAUAGAGGUAUGAUCUUUGAGAUGAAUGAGGUCAUAGACAUUGAUCACUCCCGAUAGAGGGGGCAACACACUUCUAUCAUGGCUAACUGUGGAAACAAAAAUUAAUUCACAAAAACUAACACACAACCAUUAGUCAAAAUGAAAACUCCCAUCAUUACUGUUCCCAAAAAUGAUGUCACAUGAGCAGGUGACACAUAUAAUGUCCGAGAAAAAAAAUCAAGUGCAAUCCGGACACAAGUAUUAAUUGCACUAUCAUAGAAAAUUCAGUUUUGCUCAUGGCAAAUUCCAAGCGCUUUACGCAAGGAAUCAAACCUAAGGAAAUCAAGAGGCUUUGUGAAAAUAUCAGCUAGUUGAUUGUCUGUGGACACAUAAUCUAUAGUCACACGUUUCUGCUCAACUAAUUGCCUGAUGAAAUGGUGUCGAAGAUCUAUGUGUUUGGUUCGAGGAUGCUGAACAUGAUUUUUUGAAAUAUUUAUGGCACUCUCAUUAUCACAAAAGACAUGCAACUCUUUUUCACGAAAGCCAUAGUUAUUUAACAUAUGUUGCAUCCAAAAGAGUUGAGUGAAACGGCUACCUACAGCUAUGUAUUCACACGCAGCAUUAGAUAAGGAAGUGGAAUUUUGUUUCUUACUGUACCAAGAUACCAAACUGUUACCAAUGUAGAAACAACCUCCUGUGAUGUUUUUUCUGUCAUCCACAUCUCCUGUCCAGUCAGCAUCACUGUUCCCUGCAAGACAAUUGUUAGUAACUUUUGAAUACCAUUUUCUCAAUUCGGGUGUUCCACUAAAACAUCGGAUAAUGCGCUUUACAACACUCAAAUGACUCUCUUUAGGGCUUGCUUGGUACCUAGCACAAAUACCUACACUGAAACAAAUAUCAUAUCUAUUAGCAGAAAGAUAAAACAAACUUCCUAUCAAGCUCCUGUAUAGUGUGGAAUCAACGUCUGUGCCUUCACAAUCUCGUCCCAACUUCUCAAUUGAGGUCAUUCGUGUUGUUAAAGACUUUGCCUUUUUCAACCCAAAUUUACUUACCACGUUCUUGGCAUAUUUGCUCUGUGAGAUAAAUAUCUCAUCAUCUAGUUGCUUUACCUUGUCAUUGCUCAGAACCAGUGCCCACAUGUCAUUUCGAGAAAACUGCUCAAGUUCCUCAAGCUUGGCUAACACCCAAAAUUUAUCAAGAGUUGCUUCUUUGAUGUUUUUUGGUUCAAAAGUGGAAGUGAGAUAGACAUACCUGACCAUUUCCUGGUAGUCAACCUUGGGCUUAUUGCAAGUUUUCAUACCUUCUUUACCAGUGGUAACAUCUUCAGUUGUGACAUAAGAUGUCGGCACCGAUACUUCUGUGAUUUUGUCUUCUGGUAUUUCUCUUCCAAUGCUCUCAGUUUGUUUCCCCAUUAGAAAUUCGCCACAUAAAUCUGGUGUAUUGGAAUUUAGUUGGGGAACACCUUUCACACAACCUGCAUUGAUAUUUCGUGUUAGAUCCUGAAAAUUCAAAUUCCCCAGUCGAUGAUAACACAUAUCUGUGAUAUCAGAGGUGGCGAGGGGAGACUGUUCAACUUGGUCAGUUUGAUCAAUUUUAUAACAAUUAUCAGAGGAUCUAUAACCAGAUAGAACACACCUGUGGUUUCGAUCAAAAACUUCACACUUACGCUUGGUGAACAACACUGAGUCGUAUAGAUCACAUAGCUGACUUACGCUGAGUAGGUUUGAUUUCAAACCCUCUACAUACAGAACGUUGUCAAGGUUAGGUAACCCUCCAACAUCCAAGUUACCUUCUCCUUUCACAAAGACCUUGUUUCCAUCACCAAGAGUAACUUGUCCACCAGACACAUUAUGCAUGUUCUUUAAGUAAUUAGGAACACCUGUUAUAUGCUUGGAGCAACCACUAUCAAGAUACCAAGAGUUCGUAGUACAUGCUUUUAAAGAAAGAAUAGCAGGAAAGCAGUUUGCAUUAUACUUAUUCAUCCAUUUAUUAUCAGAGUAUCUUCUUUGGGAAUUGUGAUCCCAUGCAGCGGAAUUGGAUGAUUGAUAUGCUAAACUCUUAUUUAUCAAUUUCCAUCUUUUAAAGCAUUUUGGCCUAACAUGUCCUACUUUGUGACAGAAAUGACAAGUUGGCACAAACUUUUUUGUAUAAGACUGUGAGGCAACAUGUUGUGGAGUAGGUUUGACAGUAUUAUUCACAAAAUUAAUUUUUCGAUUUGGAUUAGGUUUACCAUCGAACUUACUCCCAAUAUAGCCAAGACCAAGUUUAUCAGGAUUUGAGGGAUGAGCAUUUAAAAUUUCAUCUAACCUGUUUGAAGGAAGAAUCGUAGUGCGAUUUAACUUACUGACUGAUGCCUCUAACGUUGUUGCGACAGGGGAGUUGUCACACUUCAGGUUGAGGCAGGGUUCAGCAUUUUUCUUUGGAGCAGGAUUUUUCUUGAUCUCCCUUGCUUUAUUGCAAACGUUGUUUCGCAAAUGCCUCAGCAAUUCUUUUAGAUUGUCAAUAUCCUUCAAAGCAAAAUCCUGUUUUACCUCCAGUACCUCAUUUUCCAAUUCUAGCUCAUCGAUUCUGGCCUUCAGAUUGACUUUAAUUGCUUCAUUCUCCUCUUCCAGUUCCUUCACUUUCUCCUUCAAACACCUGUUUUCAUCACCAACCUCAUGACAUUGCUUGAGAAGAUCAUUAAGUUGCUGUUGAAUCUUCUCGAUGGAGCAUUCUUCACCAUCCUCUGAAUCUUCUUCUCCUGUGGACAUAAAAGUUGUGUUAAGAUUAGUACGAUUCUCGAGUUUACGAGUAGCAUACCUGAGGUGUGGUGGCUCAGUGCAUGUGUUAACAUCCUGUGUCACUUCAGCGACCUUAAUGGGUGACGGCUCAGUGCAUAUGACAUCAUCAUGUGUCACUUCAGUGAUCCUGCAUGUACCACAGAAGUCAAUACUUGUUUCAGCAUCACUUGCUUCACUUUCAUCAUUAGAUUCAAAGUUAUCGUCACUCCAGGUUGUAGCAAGUGAUUUUCCUUGCUUCUUCUGAGUGUUUGCACAUUCAGCUUGAAUAUGACCAUAGCCACGACAUUCUCUACAUCUAAUCCCCUUUCUAACUUCUUGCUUGUUUGUAGGACUUCUGGGAUGUCCAUUCGUUUUCACGAGUUUUCCGAAGUUUUUGGCUAUUAGAGACAUGGAUUUUGUUAGCUUGACUUCGAGUGCUGUCAUGGGAACUGAGGGCACGGAUGGUGUCGCAACAGACACAGUUUGUAAAGCGAUUUUUCUCUCUUUAUCCAUUCUACUGAUGUUCAACUUGUUCUCAAAUGUCUGCAAAUUUCCGAUCAGAUCUUCAAGUCGCAAUGAGUCCACAUCAUUUGCUUCCUCAAUAGCUGUGACCUUGUAUGCAAAUCGGUCUGGCAUUGAUCUCAACACUUUACGAACAAGCUUGACUUCAGGAUAGGUUUCACCAAGACCAUGAGCUUCAUUCGAGAUAUCGCAUAGUUUCGAAUUAAAAUCGCUUACGGUUUCAUUCUCUUCCAUUCGAAGAUCCUCAAAGCGAGUGGCGAGCAUCUGAAGUUUUGAUAAUCGAACAGAGGUUGUCCCCUCAUAAGCUGUUUGUAAUUUUUCCCAUGCUUCUUUGGCACACUCACAUGCUGAGAUGAUUUUGAAUUGAUUGAUAUCAAUUCCAUUGAAUAUGGCAUUCAAUGCUUUGGAAUUCAUAUUUGCGGCAAUCUGUUCAGUUUUGCUCCAGUCUUUUUCAUGUUUCUCAGUUUGAAUUCCUUUUUCAUCUGUGGCAACAGGUCGUUUCCAACCAGUCAGAACUGUGCGCCAUGCAUCUUCAUCCAUUGACUUGAUGAACAUCUUCAUCUUGGUCUUCCAAUAAGAGUAAUUGGUUCCAGUAAGCAGUGGUGGGCGAGUCGUGGAACCACCUUCCAUAUGAGCAUUCAUAGUUCCUAUGGAAGACAAAAGGCAAAUAAAUCAAAUUCCCAAAAUCACACACUAUGUAUAUCUAGUGAGAGGCUCUUGAUGCCAAUUGUAGAUUUAUAUGCCUAUAAAAAUCAAUUAACCUAAGUUGUAACAGUUAAGUUGUGGAAACAGUAUUCAGUUACAACUAUAAUUCUUGUGUUAACACAGUUAUAAAUCUACUAAAAGCAGAAUAAAUGAACACAAGAAAUUAAUGUGGUUCAGACACAAAUGUGCCCUACAUCCACGUGGACCUGCAAACACGAUUUCACUAGUUCAGAUUUACAGUGUACAUUAAUAGGACUUAUUAAAAACACUAAAGACUCCCUCUUUAUGUAAUAUGCCGUUCUUGUACACAACUCGAACUCCGUGUUUCUUCCAACAGCAGCUCCACACCGCGUGCCUCGAACUCCCUUCAGGCCUGAACUCCCUUCAGAAACGCGGUUGAUCUCCCUUGAGAUCUAUACAGCAGAUCUGUAUAUAUUGGCACACACAGCGAUGGCACAGUGCAACGAUGGCACAGUCCUGCUCCGCAGAACGCCUUGGCAAAACUUCGAUGCUAUGAAGUGGUUUUUCUCCCAAAUAAUGCCCGCGGUUCUUGUAUGUCUUGGAGGCUUAUAUAGCCACGAAAAUAAGCCCUAAGACCUAACUUGGGCCCUAAGAAAUCAAUUUAACUAGGUAAUAGAAUCCUAGUUGAUUUCUACUUCUAUUCUAGAUAAGUACAAAAGAUACCUAACUAGAAUAAAAUACAUGGAAAUAAAUCUAAGUUCUAAUAGAAGUAUAUAAGAAUAGGACUCUAAUAAAUUCCAAAAUAAAUAUGGAAAACAAAUCUUUGCCAAUCUUUUAAUUCCAAAACUUGGCGGAUUUCCUCGAUCUUCAAUAACCGGAAAUAUGGCGCCAACAGGACUUAUUAAAAACACUAAAGACUCCCUCUUUAUUUAAUAUGCCGUUCUUGUACACAACUCGAACUCCGUGUUUCUUCCAACAGCAGCUCCACACCGCGUGCCUAGAACUCCUUUCUGGCCUGAACUCCCUUCAGUGACGCGGUUGAUCUCCCAAGAGAUCUAUACAGCCAAUCUGUAUAUGUUGACACAUCCAACGAUGGCACAGUUCUGUUCAGCAGAACGUUUCAGCGAUUCUUCAAAGCAACAGAGUGAUUUUUCUCCCAACAAAAGUGUCACGGUCUUUGUGAGGUGAGGAGCCUUAUAUAGGCGUGAGAUUGGCCUCAAAAGACCUGUCUUCCAAAGGAACCGAAUAACUAGGAAACAUAAUCCUAGUCAAUAUCUAGUUCUAAUCUAGAUAACUAUAAAAGAUUCCUAAUAAGAAUAAAGUACAAGGAAAUAAAUCUAAGUCCUAAAGUAUUACAAAGGUAGGACUCUAAAUUUCCAAAAUAAACAUGGGAACAAAUCUUUAGCCAAUCUUCACUUCCCAAGUGAGGCGGAUUUCUUCCUUCGUGGAAAUCUGGCGCCAACAAUAGUGUUAUACCAACUCAAUUUCUACUGAUCUACUCCAACCAUAUCAUCUAAAAUUUAGCAUUUUAUUAUGUAUUAUUAGGAGAUACUAUAUAUAAUCACCAAAUUUCACUUUUACGGUGGCAUGGGGUUUGUAUUUAUUUGUUGAUGGUUUAUUGAUUAUUUUAAUAUUAUUUCCUUUAGCAUUUGUCUACAGUAGAUAGUAUAUAUACCACUUGGAGGUAUGGUUUAUUGAUUAUUUUAAUACUAUUUCCUUUAGCAUUUGUCUACAGUAGAUAGUAUAUAUACCACUUGGAGGUAUGAUUUUACCUAGCCAGCCACAAUUUAGUUACUCUGUUGGAGCUCGUUUUUUUUGUGCAUAAAUGAUAUAAUGCUAUAUUUAUAGAUGAUAGGUACAAUUUAGCAUCUCCUUUGGAGAUGCCCUUACAUGGGUACGAUUUUCAUGUCUCAUAAAUUAAAAAUAUCAAAGGCCUUAUCGCAGUUGUUUCUUUAUUUUUUCUUCAAAAAGAUGAAAUUUUCACUUAAUAUGCCUAUUUUGUGUAGUGAAAUUUUCCCACAAAAACCUUUGGUAAAUCAAGAGGAUACUGAUCAAUGCGAUUUGUCUGGAACUUCUACCCGAAGCAUAUAGUUUGUAAAAUGUUUAAAGCACAUUGACUUGGCUAUGGUGAAUGGUCGAAAUUCCUCGUGUUUACAGAGUAUGCGACAUGAUCAUCAGGUUUGAAAAUAAAUAAUAUGCAACAUAUCCAAACUUUUUGUGACGCAUAAAUUGUCUGAAUAUAUUUUUUAACUCGUGUGAUGAAAAAAAAAAUUGUCACAAUAAGUAAGUUGAGAGAUACUUCUUGUGGCGAUAACAAUUUCUAGUGACAAAAUGAAUGUGUUGUGUGACGAAAAUAUCUUCAUGAAAAUAUAAGAGUUGUGACGAAACUUUUUGUCGUCUAAGUUUUUUGGUGACAAAAUUGUAAGUUGUUGUGACAAAAGAAAUUGUCACACAAUUUUUUUUUAUGUAGUGUGACCAAUAAUACUGAAAGGAAUCUCAACCAAACUUAGCCGUUAAGUAUGUUAAUACAUUCAUGAUUAUCUGGAAUAUUUUAUAGCAUAAUACAAAUGUUAAAUUGGAACAAAAAACUAUUUGGGAUCCACGGGAGCGCCUUUAAAAAGAAGGUGAGUAAACCUCAAAGAUAUGAAGCCAAUCACAUCUUUUUCCCUCUCUCUUUAAUAAUAUAUUUAUCUCGCACUUAAACUAUUUAUAUCACCUUUGACAAAACUGACUUGACCGUCAGAGUGCUAACUCAGCAUAAGUUCAGACAUUUUUCCUCAGUUUUGCAGGCACAUGUCUUUAUCAAUUUCCACGUCAACAUAAUCCUCUCAUAAAAGACAAUACAAAAUCUCUAUCCCACACCCAUCUAAAAUCAAAGUAGCAAAACUGCACCCCCAUCAGUAUUAAAAAAAAUCAGGGUUUUUGAGUUUUAAAUCAUAAAAAAAAAAUUAACUAUGAAUUUUUUAAGAAAAAACUAGCAAAGAUAUUAAAUGAAGAACGAAAUGAUAAGUACACAAAGAAAAAAGUUAAAUGCAAAGGCUAAAUGAUAAAUGCAGAUGGCCAAAAUGUUGUUUGCAGAUAUGCGGGAUUUGUGUGGGGUUGCAAUUUUGGAAUAGAAUGUGAGGGGGUAUCCACAAUAAUGAAUGAUGUUUGGAUCUAGUUAUGUUGAAGUGAUAUAUUAAAGUCUAUCUCAAACACAAGUUUUCGAAAUGAAAAGAGAAAAUUAUUUGGGGAGCUUAACAAAUAUAUCACUAGCUUUUCCAUGCAAGGAUUGGAUUAUUAUCAUUCUUUUCCACCAACUUUUCAAGCUCCUUCGUGAACACUUCCAUGGCGUUUUUAGGUAAACAAAUGUAAACAACUAUUUCUUGUUAUUUUUGUAGGCCAUGUAAACAAUCAAUAGUUCAGGAACUAAACCAAUGUUUUCUUUGGCCACGCCUCCAUAAACGACCUUGCAUCAGAUACUCCAUAACUCCCGACAAAUGAAAAAUGGGACACUCCUUUGAUUAUCAUUGGAUCUGCCACUGACUAGAGUUUUGCCAUCCUCAAGAGCUCCAUUGCAUAAUGAUAUGGAUCUUUUGAUAGCUUUCACUUGUGGUCGUGGUUGUGGGGUGAAUGCAACAGUUCCCAUAGUACCCAUCAGGGUUGUGGGGUGAAUGCAACAGUUCCCAUAGUACCCAUUGUUGGAUUGAACCGUCUUCGAGCCCAUAUAGGAUUCCAACCACUUCAUUAGGGUGCAGAGAGAGGGCGAUUGGUACAACAUUGCCAGAGGCAUGCUGUUACGACUUCAAACAGAAGGUACAUCGGCGACAGAUGGCUGCGGAGGGCGGACAUCUGGUCAGUGCCGAAGGAGAAGGAACAGUGCACCACUUCGUUGAGUGUGGUCACGGUUCUUUGGAUGUCGGGUAUGUCUUUGUACUCGUGGUGCGUGCGUUGUAGAUUUGUUUUUUUUUUUGAAUUAUUUUAUUUUCACGCCGUUGAUUGGUCAACAUAGUAAAAUUACUGUGAAUACAAUACAAUAAUAUUUAUGUCUUACACACUAAUAUUAAAUAUGUUUUACCAUUUUUUUCAAUUUUUUUUAACAACCAACACUAUAAUAUUACCGUGCUAACAAUAAUAUUACAAUCUGAGACAGUUAUAAUGCCAAGACGAGACAAUCACAAUAAUAUUAUUGUGUUAAGAUCAAUAUUAUCUGAGACAGUAAUAUUUUUUAGACCAAGACAAUAAGAUUAUUGUGUUAACAAUAAGAUUAUUGUGUUAACAAUAAUAUUAUUAUCUGAGGAAACAAUAUCGCAGGCUAAGACAAUAUUAAUGUUUCAGACAGUAAUAUUUAAUGUUUUGAAAACUGGACCGAACAGGCUGGUUUAACUGGGAACCGUCCUACAGUGUGGUUGGGGUUAGACCAUGAAACCGAUGGAAUCUAAAACUCGGAGCAAACAAGAUAGAACUGGAAAUUCGGAGGUUCAACCGAAAAUCCGGAAACAGGAAAAAAUAAACCGGAUUUUUGUGAAAAAAAAUUAAAAACACAUAAAACAAAUCGGAUCCGCGAUCGAGGUGGCUGGAUCUAGUUAAUAGUGACGGUAAUGAACCAACUUGGGGCGGAGAAGCGUUUAAGGUAGCCGGAUCUAAUCGGCAACGGUGGUGGUUGACCCACUUUUGGCGGAGAUGCAUCUAUCGACUUNNNNNNNNNNNNNNNNNNNNNNNNNNNNNNNNNNNNNNNNNNNNNNNNNNNNNNNNNNNNNNNNNNNNNNNNNNNNNNNNNNNNNNNNNNNNNNNNNNNNAAAUAUGUAGUCCUAGAGGACUUUUUUUAGGGGAAUGUUAAAUGUGGGGUCCCACUUUUAGGGAGAGGGGUAAAUUGGAGUAGGGUGGGCAUAUGGACCCCCAUUGUUUAGGGGAGGGUUUUUUGGGUAAAGAGUACUACCAGAUGCCCUUAAGCCACUAGUUUAUUGUGAAAAUUUUAGUUUUCAAUUCUUGUAAAAAAGACUUUUAUUUUAUUUUCCAUAAAUAUCUUAUAGCAAUUUUCAUUAAUCAACUUUCUUGAAACCAUAUAUUUUCAAAUAUUAAUUGUUAUAUCGUAUUUUUCGACGGUAUUGCAUUUUUUUUAUGUUUGCAUUUUCUAACUGUUUUUACUUCAGCAAACAAAAAAAAAAAAUUAACAAUCAAAAUAAAUUUGCAAUAUAUAAUAGAAAACUGCAAAUUGCAAUUUACACAUUAAAAUAACAUAAACAAUAAAUAAUAACGGAAAUAAUAAACAGUAAACGGCACGCACAAACAAUAAACAACAAACAUAGUAAACACAAACAAUAAACAACACUGCCCCUAGUGCAUUUUUUACUCGAGCAAUAUGAAAUAGUUUCAAAACACCAAAUACAAAAUAAAAGAUGUUAUAAUAAACACCAAAAAACUAAUUUUUGUAUAGAAGCAAAUUAGUAUGUUAAGUACAAAAUACAUCAAGAGACAACUUUUCUGAACACAUUUAAUGUGGUGUUCUUUGAAUUUAUGUCGGUUGAAGAUGUGAACAAGUGAAAUGAGGUUUGAGUGAAUAUUGUGGGAUUCAUGGAUCUUCUGUAAUAACUUGCUCUGUGAGGACUUUGUUUGCAAUCUAAUUUUCUCUUGCUUUUUCUCAUUUGGAAGACGUCAAAGAGUCUUUUAAUGCUUUCUUUCUUUUUUCUUCUUUGACGUAGCUGUUUUAGCACACACAAAAUAAAACUAAAUAAGACUUUCAAUUGCAAACAAUAAAUUGCAAAACUGAACAAAAAAUAGUAAAUUAAAAACAAUAACUGCAAUUACAAACAAGGAAUUCAAAGUGCAAACAAGUAACUGCAAACAAGAAAAUUUCAAAUAGAAAAUUACGAAUAAGAAAUUCAAAGUGUAACAAGCAACUGCAAAUAAGAAAAUGAUGGUUCGAUUGCAAACAAGUAACAAACUGCAAACAAAUAGCAGGCCACAUGAACAUCCACGAAAUAAAGAAAACAAGAACAACUAAACGCAUUCUACAAGAACAAUAAAAAAACAAAAACACGAUGGUUCAAUAAUGCACAAUAAAAUGCAAAUAUCAAAUAACAACACGAACAACAACAAAUAAACAUCAACAACCGAUUGAAAAAAAAAUGCAAACAAGAAUGUAAAAAAUUUGGUAAACAAUCAUACAAAAUAUAAAUCGAAACCUUUAAAAUGUGUGAAUAUUUACCUCAGAUCGAUGCUCCAUUAUCAACAUUUUUUUCCCCUGAGAUAAAAAUACCAACAAUGGGUCUUAAAUCAUCAUCGAAACAUCUAAAAAAAUUGGAUAAAUAAAAAGGAGUUAGUCUUGUUCGUGUCAUCGUAGUUGUCUUUUGUCUUUUGUCGAGUCUUCUAGUCCUCUUUUCUCUUAUUCUUCGUUCUUUUGUUUAGAGUCAAAAAUAAAAAUAAAUCAAAUUUUGGGUUAUUUGUUUUGAGUUUCUUUGAGUCUAAGUUAGGUUUUGUCUAGAGUUCAAAAAAAAAAAAAAAAAGGAAAUAAAAAAAGAAAAGAAGAACGAAUUUUUUUCUUUGUUUUUCAAUUUCUUAGAGUCUAAGUUAGAGUUUGUUAGUGUCUAAAAAAAAAUAAAAAAAUUGCUUUGAUCAUGUCCGAGAAGGCCGGUUAUUACGGAGAAAGAAUUGAGCAGCGUAGGAUGUCGUCAAUGGGCAAACGCUUCCAACAACUCCAAGAUCGGAUAGAAGGAAUUGUUACCCAACUAAAGGAACUACACGAAGAUCGACAUGUUCGAGGGCCAUACAUACGACGUGAUGUUCACCAACCAGUUAUACCUUAUCCCGAUAAAGAGGUAGAUCCUGAUGGAAAUUUUGGUGUGAACGCUACAAAAUUAAGGAGGGAGAGUAUGGGACGAGGGUUCAUAUUUGAAACUUCGAGCCGAGGAUACUUUGGUCGAGAAAGAGAUGGGGUAGAUCGAAACCUCAGCUCAAUGAAAUUGACUAUACCAUCUUUCCAAGGUAAGAGUGAUCCUGAUUCGUACAUUCAAUGGGAAAGAAAGCUUGAGCUCGUAUUCGAUUAUCAUUAUUAUUCCGAGAAGAAAAUGGUGAAGCUCGCCGUCGAAGCGUUCAUUGACUAUGCAACUACUUGGUGGGAUCAAUUUGUCUUCACUAGGCGCCACUGUGGCGAACCACCAAUUGAAGAUUGGGAGUCCAUGAAGGCAAUCAUGAGAAGGAGGUUCGUCCCUUCACAAUAUUAUAGGGACUUACAAUUGCAAAGGUUGAGGCAAGCUACUAAGUUAGAAGAACGGAGUUCGCCGCGGUGGGAGUCACAAAGGAGUUCUCCAGCGAGCAUGGUGAGAGAAUCGUUACAAAAGCCUAAAAGAGAGAAAUCAAAAACCGAGCAGCAAUUCAAGACUAGUGUCCAAGCAAACAAUUCGUGAACUUGUGGUCCAACAUUGAGGAUGAUUCUGCAAAGGAGAAAAAGAUUAUUUACGUGUCACCACCUCAGGGGAAUGAUAACAUUGAAAUUCCCAUGGAGAAAAAUGUUCUAGACAUCGUGGAAAGCAUUGGUGUAAAAAUUGAAGGGAUGCAAGACGAUAUUGUUGAGUUGCAACCCAAGGAGGAUGAAAAGUGCAAAACCGCCCCACCAGUUGAAGAAGAAAUUGAAGGUUCGGAUUCGAGGACGAAUCCUUUUGAAGAGGUGGAGAAUGAUAUGAUCCAACCAAGCAUCGAAGUUAAUGCCGAGCUAAGCAAAGUGCAAACUCUCAGUGUGAAUGUUGAUGAGAUGGCGGUGCCUAGAGAGAUGCUUCAAUCAUUCUCUAUAGAGAGGUUGAACGCAUUGGAACUUCAAGCUACAAAAUACCUGCGUUCAUAUACAAAUCAAUGGCUGCUAGAUAGUAUGUUUGGCGAUGUGGUGCAGAGAUGUAUAAGUUCGCUACCAAACAGAGAGAUCGAUCUUGUUUACACUCCUUAUGAUAUUUGUCCGGAUUCGAGGACGAAUCCUUUUAAAGAGGGGGAGAAUGAUACGAUCCGCACAAGCUCCAAGACAAAGAAUUGGAAGAAGAGAAAGCGAGUGAGAUUAAUGGAGCCGUUCGUGUUGGGAUUGAAGAAUAAAGUCUUGAAUCAGGCCUUUGAAGAGUCCAUGGUUUGGAAUUGGAAGAAAAGAAAGAGAAGAAUUCGUUGGACAAGUCGAAUUCCAUGCAUCCGAGAUUCUCGCCUAUUCUAGCCGAGUUUACCAUUCGAGUUAUAACUCUCGCAUGUGAAGUCCAUUUAAGCUGAUUCAAAAUGAUUCGGAAAGCUAACUGAAAGAUCUACAACUUUUAUGUUUUGAGCGAAGAGAUAUUCGAAGUGGAACAUUGUCGAAAUUGAGCUUUAAUUGCAUGCACGUGCACAACACAAUGUCGCGAGUUAAGAAGGGUGAUCGAGAAGUCGACUUGAAGAUCAAGUUAUCUUAUUUAAUUAUGCACGUUUUUUAUUUAGGUUUUAUUGUGUUUUUUAUUAUUUUAGAGUCUUUUAUGGUUAGAAUUUGCUUAUUUAUUUAUUUCCUUAUUAUAGUUUAGGUAGGAGUCCUUUUCCUUGUGAAAAAAGGAGUCUUUUUAGAUCUUAUAAAUAGGUUGCCAAUUUGGCUUAUUUUACAGGACGGAUUUUGAUGAUUUAAUUGAGAAUAUUCUCUUUGGUUCUUUAAGAACUCUUCGAACAUAUCGGUGGAUUCCGUUUGUUCACCCCGACUUAUCAAUCGAUCUUUCACAAUCGAUUGUGGCAUCUUCACAUACCAAGGUUCUUGCCUCUUUAUAGGCAACGGGUCGCGGUUCCACCUUUUGAAUGUUUGUUUUUGGAUGUUUUCGAUCUUGCUUCCGCGUAAGGUAUUAGGGUCUCGUAACAAGUUCUACGGGGUUCGUAUCAGGAAUGAUAAACAAACAACAAACGAACACAAUUUUUUGUUGUUUUCUGCUUUUGCGUUGGAGAAGAUGAAAGAAAUAUAAAAUAGUAUUUUGGGAUUUAAAGAUUUGCAACGAUGUUUUCUCGGGAGAAAAAAGUGGAAUUAAAACCUCUAUAAAAUUGACUAUUAUUUGGAGAUUUUUAUUUUCCAUAUUUUAUUAGGGGUAUUUUAGACACUAUAAAAAUAAUAAAUAUAAUAAAAAUAGGGAAUUAGUAGUUGGAUUUAUACAUAAAAAAUCUCUUAUAGAAUGACCUAUAGCAAAUUGCCCUACUUAUAAAUGAGGAAUCUUAUGGCAGUUUCUUCCAUUUUCUAAGAGACAAAAAUACCCUUAGGCAAGUUCAGAUUUUGAAGGAAAAUUGAGUAAUAUAAAUUGAUUGUUAAUUAUUAUAAAUUAAUAUUAACUUAUGACAUUAAAUAACUAUAUUAUUAAGUAUUUUUCCAAAUAUAGUAUAUAUGGGCAAGUUUAAACUAAUAGAUCAAUUUAUGUAACAAAAAAUCUAGAUGCACGUAAAAUAGAAUUAACGAAAAUAAUAAUACCACCGUGAAAUUUUAAAAUUAUUUUUAAUUAUCGUAACAUAUAUCGUUAUCUAAAAUAUAAUUAAAAGAACUCUUCAUUGAAUUAAUUAGUAUCAAAUUUCUUCAGUUGAAGAAUUUUUAUCACUUUCCGAAUUUGUAUCUAUGUUUACUAAUAAAAAAAUAGUUUAUAAAAUUCAUAAUUUUAUCUAUGCCAAUCAAUAACAACUAUAUGUAAGGUUAGAAGUAUGAGUAAUAUAAAUAAAUAAAUAAUUAGUUUAAUUUAUUUAUAAAAAUAAAUUGUAAUCUUUCAUUGAAUAAAUUUUUCAUAAUUCAGGAAUACUCAAUUAUUGAUAAAGAAAACUAUCUUAUUCCUAACGACUGUUCAACUAAUUCCUAAUGUAUUUAUUAAUAUUUAAUUAAUAGCAACUUUAUUGAACUCAGAAUUUGUAUAGUCUGAAGUCUUUAAUGUACAUUCAUGAUACCCCAAACAAUUUUUGUUUAAAUAAAACGGCACAAAAGACAAAAUAACAUAUGUUUUUUUGUAAUCUAUUUCAUGCUCUAGACAUUAAAAAAUAAGGUUACACUAUGAUCCACCACGACACCACCACCUACGACCAUAAAAACUGUGGAGAAUCAGACAUGAACCACCGGUGGCUACAUAGCAUCUUACAUCGAUUUUUCAAGAGAUAGUUGUUUGCAUUUUGCGGUUUCAAUAAUGGCCAGCAAUGCCGAUAUGCACGGUGACGGUAAUGAAUUUAAUAAUUAUUAGACAAAUUACAAAAAAAUCACUGAUGUAAGGUCUAAUUAUAAAAAUCCCCCUUAUUUUGGCGUAUUACAAACCCCCCUAGGUAUGUUGUCGUCUUACGUAGUCUUCCUAUAUAUGGUGAUACUUUUAACGGAAUCUUUUUUAUUCCAUGAAAUAUUCAUCUGAAAAGGUCAUUUCGGCCUUUGUUGGGUAACUGUAAGCAUAUUAAUUACUUAGUGGACAAAAUGUAAUAUAGUUAAAUAAAACCGUAAUUACUUUUAAUUUUAAAAAUGUAAUGUAUUUCUUAAGUUUAUAAUUAUUAAAAUAAAAAAAUAUAAGAAUUAAACCUAUCUUGUAACAUUAAAAGUUUUUAUUUGUAUUGUAUUUGUUUUGUUUACAAUUUCAUAAUUAUUUGUUCAAUAAAAUCGAUUUGACAUAUUUUGGAAACAUAGUCCCAUAUUUCUUAUUUUAGGUUAAAAAUAUUUUCAUUAUGUUUUAAUAAAUUUCUAACAAUAUUUCAGUUUUAAACAAAUAAAAUGCAAAAAAUAUAUAUUAAAUAUGAAUACAUUAUGAAAAAAAUAUAUUAUUUUAUUCGUCAAAAGUAACACCACAAGGGGAUUGUGCAAGACGGCGAGGGGGGGGGGGGGGGGGGGAGAGAAAAUAAAAUAUGGGGGAUUUUAUUAAUUAGACAUUACUUCGAGGGUUUCUUGUAAUUUAGCAUUUAUUAUUUUUCAAAUAAGAAGGGUAAAACGGACAAGAUACAUUUUCUAUGAAUUUAAACGGUCAAACGUUGGUCAGAAGGGGAAUUUUUUCAUUACACACACAUGAAUGAUUUUUUUUUUUUUAAUUAGCCUUACCUCGUGGGGUAUUUAUAAUUUGCCCUUAUUAUAAAGAAUGCAUGUAAAAAUUAUUUAUUAAUUAUUUGUUAUUUUAUAUUUUUAUGUUGGCUUCUAUAUAUUCAUUUCUUAAGUAAAUGAUUUGACUUCAAAUUUUCUAGAUUACGUAAGUUUUUGUUGACAACAACAAAUAUAAUAACACCUGAGGCUGGACUCAAAUUGUAAAUUUGGAGGCAAAUUCUUAAGAUCUCAAUACUUACAAUUUUAAUUGAUAAAUUUGAUAGGUUUCCGUUAUAUUGUUUCUUCAAUAAUUGAGGAUUUUUUAAUUAAUUUUGGAAGGUUUAUUUCCAGUUUGCACCCUCGAGAUGUAGCAUUAUGGAACUUUGCAUCGCCACAAAAAAAAAAUAAUAUCCCGUUCACCCCAAUAUAAGUUUUAAGGUUAAUGAAGAUAAUUUUAUGUUUUAGUAUCAUUUAUAAAUGCAAUUUUUCUUUUAUGUGAUAAAUAUAAUUCAAAAAUAGAAUUAUGAUAAAUAAAUCACAAAUUUGUUGAAUAUGUACCACUUUUUCGGAAUUGGUAAAAUAUUGAUGAUUUUUUUUUGUAUGAAACGAUAUUUUUAUGUAAUUUUGUGAAGAACUAGUUGAAGGAUGGAAAAGUAAAAUACUUAAUACUUUGUACACAUAAAAUAAAUAUUUUUGUAUGGGUGUAGUCAUCAAUGAUAUUUGAUCUUUGCAAUAGUAUAUAUUUUUGUGGUGUAAAAGUUAAAUUGUUUAGUUAUCCCCACCAUUCAACCAUUUUCUCACAAAAGUACUUGAAAUUUUUCGUAAAUUAUAUAUAUAUAUUUUGUUACUAAAGAUCAACAAAACAAAUAAUUUACUUAGAAAAUUUUGCUAAAACAAUUGUGGUGCAAUGUGAAUGAGUAGUUACCUUUUGAGAGUGUAAAGUGCUAUUUUUUUUUUUCGGGGGUGUAAAGUGUCGAAUGUUGUAUUUUGAGUGCCAAGUGGAAUAAUUAAGUCAUUUCAGAAGGAGAAAAAAAUAAAAUGAAGUUAUAAAAUCUUCACAAAAUUUCAAUUAUUUUGGCUGACAUGUUUAGGGUUUAGGGUUAACAUAUACCUCACUGCAAAUAUUAUUAAUUUACUCACUUUCUUGAGUUACAAUUUCAAUUUUGUCUUUCUCGAUUAUGAACACAUGUGGUGGUAAUAGAUGUUUUCUUGUGUUACAAUAUAUUACAAAAUAAAUUGAGGAAAGUUUGUAUAAAAAAUAAUCACAUCAGUGACAGCAUUACUGCAAUGAUAUUGAUGAACCACAAAAAAAUAUUAUUUCACCCACUCGAAAAUUAGCAAGAAAAAAAAAAAGGUUCAGGGACAGGGAUCAAUGAAAUCCAUAUUCUUGCAAACUUUUGAGAUUUUUUCUUGCUUAUUAUGUGAAGGAGAAGUUUUCUUGACCAAUUUAUCAGGAACAUCAAUGUAUUUGACUCUAUUUCUAUUCCAACUCCACAUUAUUUCGGUGGAGCAGUUGAACAUCCAACUUUGUUUCAUAUCUUUUAAAAAAAAUUAACUCAGUCCCCAAAUUGUAAGGUUAUUAUUAAAAUAAGGAGAUAUAUUCGUAACUUACACUUUCACCCCUCAAUUGGGAUUUUCUUCAUCGUUUCACCAUUCCGCAAUUUUAAAGGAGUUUUCAGGUAAUGUUGCAAAUUAUUGUGAUUAAUUUUUGGAGUUCGCUUCAAGAUUUGAAAGCAAAAAUUAAGUUACAGAAAAUAAAAAGUAAUUAAUGGAAUCAUGAAUAAAAAUACAAAUAGAAAUUAUAUGAAUCUAAACAUAUUAUAUUAUAAUAUUAAACAAAGCUAAGUUAAACUAUAAAUACCUUAGCUUUAACAAUCAAUGAAUUCUAUUUUAAAAAAUAAAAAUAAUGACAAUAAUAACCUAUCUAUCCAAAAAAAUAUGAUAGUGUUCCAAGAAGAUCAAGUUGCAAAAAAAAAAAAAAAAAAAAAAAACUAAUACAAAUAAAAAGAAACGGGUAAAUAACAUUUUCCAAUGAUGAUCGAUAUGGGAAAAAAAUCAAGAUGAAAGAAAAUUAAAAAUAAAAUAUUAAAUAGAAUCUUGUAUAUAAAUAUAAGUAGAAAUUAUGAAUUUAUACAUAUUGUAAUAUUAGACAAAGUUUGACUAAUGGAUAAUAUCAAUAUAUUCCAAAUAACUUCGAUAUUUUAAUUUGUAUUAUUAUUUUCAUCGAAUAAUAUGCCAAAAAAAAAAAAAAAAACUCCGAUUAAAUUGACACAAGACGUGCAACAGACGUCCACCUUCCUAGUAUUAUAAAUAAUACUAAUUAUUAAUUACAAAAAUUAAUAUAAACAGUUUAAAAAAAAGAUUUGAGACAAAGUGCUUGGGCAAACUAAAUGUAUUGGCAACAACUUUUAAUUCGUUGCCCCGAACUUUCCGUAACAAAUAAAAGACAACAAAGCUAGCAACGACUUAUUUUCGUUGCGAAUGGAAUUAGCAACGAAAUUAUAUACUUUCCACAACGAAAUUCGUUGUAGCCAAAUGCGAACUUUCUUGUAGUGAGAAGUUGCAAAAAACAAAAAUAAAAAACUAAUACAUAUAAAAAUAAACGGGUAAAUAAAAUUUUCCAAUGAUGAUCGAUGUGGGAAAAAAAUCAAGAUGAAAGAAAAUUAAAAAAAUAUUAAAUAGAAUCUUGGAUAUAAAUAUAGGUAGAAAUUAUGAAUCUAUACAUAUUGUAAUAUUAGACAAAGUUUGACUAAUGGAUAAUAUCAAUAUAUUCCAAAUAACUUCGAUAUUUUAAUUUGUAUUAUUAUUUUCAUCGAAUAAUAUGCCAAAAAAAACGCCGAUUAAAUUGACACAAGACGUGCAACAGACAUCCACCUUCCUAGUAUUAUAAAUAAUAAUAAUUAUUAAUUACAAAAAUUAAUAUAACUAGUUAAAAAAAAAAAAAAAAAGAUAUGAGACAAAGUGCUUGGGCAAACUAAAUGUAUUGACAACAACUUUUAAUUCGUUGCUCCGAACUUUCCAUAACAAAUAAAAUACAACGAAGCUAGCAACGACUUAUUUUCGUUGCGAAUGGAAUUAGCAACGAAAUUAUAUACUUUCCACAACGAAAUUCGUUGUAGCCAAAUGCGAACUUUCUUGUAGUGAGAAGUUGCAAAAAAAAAAAAAAAACUAAUACAUAUAAAAAGAAAUGGGUAAAUAACAUUUUCCAAUGAUGAUCGAUGUGGGAAAAAAAUCAAGAUGAAAGAAAAUUAAAAAAAUAUUAAAUAGAAUCUUGGAUAUAAAUAUAAGUUGAAAUUAUGAAUCUAUACAUAUUGUAAUAUUAGACAAAGUUUGACUAAUGUAUAAUAUCAAUAUAUUCCAAAUAACUUUGAUAUUUUAAUUUGUAUUAUUAUUUUUAUCGAAUAAUAUGCCAAAAAAAAAAAACCCGAUUAAAUUGACACAAGACGUGCAACAGACGUCCACCUUCCUAGUAUUACAAAUAAUACUAAUUAUUAAUUACAAAUAUAAAUAGUUUUAAAAAAAAAAGAUAUGAGACAAAGUGCUUGGGCAAACAAAAUUAUACAAGGUCAUAGGCGUGAAGUCAGUAGUGUGAGAUAAAAGUAGAAACAACACCAAUUUUAAAUUACCAAAAUUAAUAGAAUAACUAAGAAAUUAAAAAAAAAAUCAAAAACCCGAUUGAAUCGGUCCAAUCGUAACCACAUAGCUUGUCCAAUUCUAUGUCCAAUCCAGUUCAGAAAAUAUUGGUAAUAUUUGCAAUCCAACACAAUAAUAUUACUGUGAAACAAAGUAAUAUUGGGUGCAUGGAAAGUUUUGUGACCAUAGUUCAAAUAUGGUUGUGAUUCAUAUGGGUUGCAAUGGUGUUUGUUUUGUAAUAGUUUUACAACAAUUAUAUUAUUUGCAUGAUGGUUACAUGAACAAUUUUGGAAUAGUUUUACAACAAUUGUCUUUUUUCUUUUCGUCAAAUAGUCGUCCAUGAAUUUAUGUAGGUAUUAAGAUGGGAUGAAAUGAUUAAUCAUGGAUUUGGACUUUCGGUGAGUUUGUGAAGACUUGAAAAAAUUAAUAUUUUUUAGUAGCGAAAGUAAUAAGACUAGUGUUUUGUGGAUGGAAAAAUUACUUCUGUUUUUGUUUUUUGUCUUACUUACAAUUAUCUCUAGCACUCCAUAUUUACAAGAUGACUCUUCGACUCUUAAAAACUCUCGAGCAAUGAUGAAAGUGAGGAGUACAUUAAUCUUCUAAUAAAUUUACAAGAUGACUCUUAGACUAACAACUCUUAUAAAUCUAAUUUAAUAUAUACAUAGGAAAAUCAAAAGACAAUUGUCUAGAUACAUCUAGACAACGGUGCUUCAAAUUCACAUUUAUUCCAACAUUCAAUCCCCCACUUAUUCCAACAUGAAUUCCCACUUCUUCCAAUAUUGAAUUGCCACUGAUUCCAAUAUUGAAUUCACAUUAAGUCCACUUAUUCUGAGACUUCUACCAGGGCACAUCAAAAGAAAAUUUUACAUCAUCCCUCACCUUUAUCAUUACCCGAGAGUUUUUUUUCUGUUGCAUCGAACAAUAAGAGGUGACAUAGUGGGUACAUACUUCUUCUCUGCUUACCAUCAUACAUAGGAGCCAUGAUUUUUGUAAUAUAUGCAAGUUUUCAUCGUUUUAUUGUGGUUUCAAGUUUGUGGAACUAAUUUUGCUUUUUUUUUUUAGAUUUUCGGGGUUCCAGGAUAAGUUUUUGAGUUAUGGACUAGGAGAGAAUAUGGGUUAAGAAUCUUGGAUUACAUAGGUGGGUUCAAAGUUUGGUCUCUUUAGAGUUUCUUGGACU